rnacentral:lncRNA from 1 species
GUCUAAUUCAAGCCAUUCUAGCAUUAUAUGGUUUUGUAUGUUCUCAGGGAGACAUUCUAAGUUGCAACACUCAUUCAAUUUUAGCCGUUUUAAAGAUCGUAUACCAUCAAGUAUGGACCAUAGACUUAAUGCAUUGAUUUCUGUGCACCCUGAAAGGUCUAGCUGUGUAACAGACCCCAGUCCAUGAUCAUCUGAUAACUUAUUCCCAACAAUGUUAAGCUUGUUACACUUAGUUAUGGAAAGAGAAGUAAGUUUGGUAUUACGCCAAAUCGAUGAAGACAACUCACGUAUAGCAGUGCCACGUAAGAAUAACUCUGUAAUUUCCUCCAAUGUAACCGAAAAUUCUGUGAGAGAUGAACAACCAUCCAGUAAGAGUUCACGAAGAGAUUUUGAAUGAAUGUUCGUUUUAAGGCUUUCAAUAGUAAUGCAACCUCCUAAAUCUAGAAAUGUAAGUCGAGGGAGAGAAAAGAUGGAUGGAUGGAGCUGACGCAAGCUUUCACAUUGACAGAGAGAUGCUCUUCCAAGAUUUGUAGCCCUAGAUAAGUCGGGGAUCUCAAUCAGAUCUUUGGAGUAAUUAAGGCAGAUUGUGAUUAGAUUUUACAAGAUUCUGUAACAAGAAAUAAACAUGCAUAAGUGUUGAUUAAAAGAGAAACAAAACCUAGUUAAGAAUAAAUAGAGGCAUGUCAUCCUAGCUCUGCUACAAUUUUGUGAAUAGCACGAGACUCCUCUUGUACCUUUAUAAAGUUAACAAGUAUAUCCAAACAUAUUUGUACCUGAACUCCAUCUCAGAGAUUUUUAAGCUUGCUAUGAGUCAUGCUAAGCUCUACAAGCAUUUCAGCACAAAAGUUUGAUGGAAAAGACUAAAGACAAUAUCCCUCCCAUUGAAGGUACCUCAAUUUAUCAGAAAGCCACUCGAGACCAUCAGGAAAAUGUACAUUGCAUAUGCUCCCGUUGGAUAUAUUAUGAAUCUUAAGAUAUCUUAAGUUUGCCAUCCUUCUAAAGGAAUCAGACUUCAAGUAUAGAUCCCCAACUUCCGUAGUAUCGAAUAUUAUACCUUCCACAACUUCAGUUCCCUGACAACAAAAAUUAGAUUAAUAAUUAGGAAAGGCUGUCAUAUGUACUUUCAUUGUUAUAUUUUAUAAUUACAUACAUAUAUUUUCAUAUAUAUAUAUAAGUGAUUGCAUCCUCUGCUUACCUUGUUUUCUUUUAAUAUAUCAGAUAUUUCUUUAGCUCUCCACAACCGACUUCGUUUUCCAGGGUUUAUAGAUUCUUGAUUAACAAUCUCCCGUCCCAUUUCUUGUAACAAAUCAUGCAUAUGUAAACUAUCAACUUCAAACUUGGCAUACGAGUGCCAAUUUGGUUUUACUUGUAUGAGAGCUUUAUCUAAAAGGACUUCUAUCCCACUUUCUGCAAAGAACUUACAAGCUUCCAACAAAUCUAUUAUAAAUAUUUUAUGCUCUCCUCUCAAAAAGCAUGCAAUAUCUAAAAAUAUGGCCUUUUAAAAAAAAUCUAAGUCAUCAUAACUGAAUUUUAACACGGUAUAAAUUUUCCUAUUUGGAAUCUUUUCGAGCUUUUUCAAUUCAUUUUCCCAUGCCUCUUUGCCUCUUGAGCGGAGAUUUUCCCCUAAAACUUUUAAAGCCAGAGGAUUGCCUUUGCAAUAGGCAAUUACACUUUCUGAUAGAUCUUCACAUCCAAUUUUAGACUGUUUUUCUCCGAAGGCAUUCAAACUGAGUAGCUGAAGAGAAUCAUGGUUGUUCAAUUCCUUGACCUCAUAUAUCUCACAUUUACUGAACUGACUAAAUAUGUGCUUAUCUCUAGUUGUCAUAAUGACCCUACUACCCGGUCCCAGCCCAUCAAUUUUUAGGAUAAGAUCUUCUAUUUGCUCUAAGGUUUCUCUGCCAUCCAACACAAUUAAAACUUUUUUACGUGAAAUCCUUCUCUUGGAGAAAGUGGCUUCUAUGUAGGAUGCAUCAGGAUGAAUAUUUUCCUCCUCUAACAAUGAGGAUAAAAGUUUAUUGUAUACAACAUUAUGUCCAUACCUGUUUGAUUCAUCAAUUACAUUGAGAAAGCAACAACCUUCAAAUUGAGAAUAAAUUAUAGCAUAUGAAGCCCUAGCAAGAGUGGUCUUUCCUAUGCCACCCAUGCCCCAUAUUCCAAGGACUCUAACAUCAUUUGAGCCAAUUUUCAGUAUUGACUCAAUUUGGUCAUAAUUUUUCUCAACUCCAACAAGCCCCUUAAUUUCACAUGGGUAUCUAAGAUUCAGUUUCCGCAAAACAUUUUUAACAAUGUCCUUAAUGAAGUCCGAUUCGAUCCUAGAAUAUGAACGAGGGGAAGAAGAUUUUACAAGUCUAACAAAUACAAUAGUAGAAAAGUACAUCUAUAUGAUUAGUAUACAAAAUUUAUAGUCAAUAAGGUGACAGUGGCUUAGUAGAGCAAGAAACAAACAAAAAUUAGAUUUGGGGAAACAAAAUACCAAAGACACAAGGUAAUAAAUGUAUAUUUUCUAUGACUUUGGUAGUUUUCAGAAGGUUGUGUCAACUAUUACUUUGGCCUGUUUAUUUUCAAAAAUUAUUUUUAGUGUUUGUUUUCUAAAAUUUAUGUUCAUUUCCAAUUAAGAAUAUGGAGAUGAAAGACUCAUGUAGUAAAUAGCUGUGCUAUAUUAGAAAACAAAACAUGUAAAUGAUAUGAAAUAGUUUAUUUAUUUUACUUCGAAUUUUUUCGUUUUGUUUACCUGUAAUUUUGAGAGUCCCAACCAACUAAACUAGCUGCCUCAGUGAGUGCAUCUUUCCAUUCCUGUAACUUGUCAUUAUUGCUCUUCAAAUCUCGCUUAUGUUUUGCGAAGGCUUGCUUGUAACUCCCAGUCUGCUUCCUCACAUGUGAUGGAUCUAUGUUGUAAAAAACAGGUAUCACAAUCUGUACCAUAUAUUUCUUGCAUUCAAGAAUCUUUUUGAGCUCAUUCAAGCACCAUUUUGAGGAAGCAUAGUUUUCUGAGAAGAUGACAAUAGACACAUGUGACUCCUCAAUGGCUCUGAUGAGUGCUGGCGAUAUCUUAUCUCCUUUUUGAAGCUCAUUGUUGUCUAUAAAGGUUUCAACUUUCUUUCGGCUCCGAGCAUCAUAAAGAUGGCAUGUGAAGUUUCUGCGGGUAUCCUCACCUCGAAAGCUAAGAAAAACGUCAUAUUUUUUCACAGAUGCCACAGAAGAAGAAAAAACACUGUUUGUUUGCUUCCUAGCCAUUAUGAAUUCCAAGCGCUGCGCUAAUCACAAUGCUACACUCAAACAUAAAAAAUAUUUGAUGUUUAAAUUUGUUCUCGGUUACUUUUUGUACUGGCACUCGUGAUAGUGUUACAUAUUGAGAUUUAUAAAUCAGAUUGACAUCAGAUCAGGCAGUUCAAAGUCCACAUAUUGCUCAUAUAUCGACCUAGGUAAUGUGUAUUUUUUGAUCUAGGAAAGCNACAAUUGUAAAUCCCGCCUUAUUUGCUUGACGACGCACCCACUCAAGCAAUUCAUCUCUAUCUUUCGACAUAACGUCGUCUGACAAAAAAACUAGCCGUGUCGACCUCGUGGGCUUGAAGUGGGAGGACACCGGAGCCGCCAACAUACUUUGAAGCUUCAACAUGGAAGGAAGCUCCAUCAAUGUUUGAUUUCGCUUCACUUUAGGCGGUUUGACAUCUCCGGAAAUUUCGACAAAAUUUUGUUUUGUCUCUCCCGAAACAUCUUCCGCGUUCUCUACCAUUACUAUAAUUAAACAACACAUAAAUAUGAAUUAACAACUAACUAAUGUAUAAACAUCAAUGCCAUAAUGAAUUAAAACAAAAAAACAAAAAAAAGAAUUUUUUUUUUGAAAAACUGGCAGUAGCUGCCAUUUUUUCGAUGUGAAAAUUUUUCACAAGAGUUCCUCGGCACCUUACUACCGAGGUUUUCCUCGGCACUACACUAUCGACGUUUUCCUCGGCAAUUAACUGCCGAGGAUUCCCAUGACAAGGUUCUAUGUAACUGACGUAGAUACCCAUAAAAUAGCCCAAAAAUCAAUCGAAUAAAAUGCACAAUACCUAUUUUUUACGUCAAAACUGUGUUGAUACCUCCUAUGCUUGAUGCUUGAAUGAUUUUGGAUCAAUAAUUGAUUAAAAAAAAUGGAUUUUGGGAUUGAAUAAUGGAGGUGGAAAUGAAGUUGAUGAAGAAAAUAGUGUGUAGGGGGAGCAGGUGGUUGUUUCAUCUGAUGAAACAUUCUCUCGGCAGUUAACUGCAGCCGGAAUUCAAAUUCCUCGGCAGUUAACUGCCGAGGGGGUAAAAUCGUAUUUUACUAGUGUGUCACAGCCUUAUCAAAUGUGGGAACAACAAUUCUCAUUUGUUUAAGGUGAUGGUGAAAAGAAGGUGAAGAAAGGGAGAAAUAAUUAGGUGUUUUUGACUCACCGUAAGAUAAAAUACACCUGUAUAAUUGAAUGAUCAUCUUUUUAAAAAAACAUAUCAAGGGUUUAAAUUAAAAAUUUUCAUAAGGUCUAUGGUGGACUACUUUUAAGAUUGAUUCACAAUAGACAUUUGGGGGUUAAACUUAACACCAAUGAUUUAUUUGGCAAACAGAAGAAAAGAUGAAGGACUUAAAGGUACGUUUUAUUAAUUUUGGGACCAAAAUGAAAAGUUAAAAUUAAUUAAGGGAUCAUUGGAUCAAAUAAACCUAACAUUAACCAAGAGGAAGAAAUUUCGGAUAACGUAUAACAAAUGAUGUUAAAGUGACGGAUUGCAUUACUAUCCAGUAACAAUAAGAUUAGCAGAAUUAAUAAUAGGAACGUAGUUUUAUAUUUGUUUGUUAUGUUCUGAGUAAUAAUAGAUAAUUUAGUUGUAUAUCCUUACAUAUAAAUAACUUCGUAUUUUUUUUUGUCAAUUGUUUAGUGGUUAAAACUCACACAUUUUUUAUUAAAAAAAAAAAAAAAACUAAGAUAAGAAAAUGGGGUUAAGAUGACCGGUUCCAAUCUACUUUCUAUCAACAAAAAAAUGGGUUUAUGCCCCGCUAAAUAAAAUAACAAUAAUAAAAUAAAUAUAAUAACCAUAUUAAUUAAUAAAUAACAAAGAUAAGAAAUGGGAUUAAGAAAGGAAGGAAGGAAAAAUCCAAAGUGUCUUCUAGGAGCAAAGGUGUCAUGACAUUAUUAUUAGUAUUUUAUGGAACAAUAUUUAGGGUAGCAUGCCUCAUUCUAGUUUAAGAAAAAAUUCAAGGUUCAAUAAAUGCUUGCAUAAAUACUUACAUACUAUUCAUUAAUUAAAUAUAAGUUGCAUUCUUACAAAAUUGCUGACAUGACAUUAUUCUUUAACAAGCAUACAAAGAAAUAUGACAUUAGAGAUAGUGACCCUUUAAGUAAAAAUAUGUACAUCCUCCGAUUAUAAAAAAAUUAAUAUUUUAUAUUCAUUCAUUAAAUUAUGUUUCAUUAAAUUAUGUAUGUGGUUAAUAAUAAAGACUAUAUACAUCAUUUAAUGAAUGAAUCUAAAAUGUUAAUUUUUGCCUAUAAUAAUAAUAUAAUAAUAAUCGGAGGAUGUAUUAUGAAUUUGUCAAUAUGCGUGGUCAGAUCAGAUGCAUAAAAAAUAAAACUUACAUUGUGAAUUCAAUUUCCUAUAUUAAAACUUACAGUGUGAAUCUAAUUUCCUGUAUUAAAACUUAAGGUGUGAAUCUAAUUUUCUAUAUUAAAGUAAAUAGUUGUUACAUGAGGUCCAUUUCUUUUUAUUUGUUUCUUACCAAUCAAUUUCAGUAACCUUUAAACAAAUGUCAUAUUGUUGAAUCGUGAACUUUCUUCACACGUUCAAUGGCUGGUCCAAUUGAGAAAAUAUUAAUGAAUACAUGCUUUGAUAAAUUAUUUAUCAAAAACUGAUUUAUAUACUUUUUAUACACAAGGAAUUGAGUUGGACAAACCCCUUCACUCCGACCUCAUCCCCCAACCUCUCUCACUGCCAAUUUCAAGUGUGUUUAGCUGAGAAAAAGUUAUGUAAUAUUUUGAGGAAAUUCAAAUUCUUUUAAAUAAAUUUUGUUUGUUUGAAUGAUUAAAUUUAGAGAAUUUAUCAUAUUAAUGAAAUUCUAUGAAGUAUUAUGUUAAGUUAAAUUGAGUGAAUUUCAAAUGAUAUCUAAGGUUUAAGAAUUUCAAAUUUCCUACUAGAUAUAUAUUUCAAAAUUUCCAAGUUGGUCCCCAUAUUUUUCAAAAAAAAUAAAUUGACCCUUAAAUAUUUAAAAUAAAUUGCAAAUUGAUCCUUACAAUUUCUUGAAAAUUAUAAAUUGACCACUUUCAAUUUUUGAAAUCUACAAAUCAGCCCUCUAUUUUUCAAUUUUCAAAUUUGGCCCAAAAUUUUAGAAUAUAUAAAAGUAAGUAGCACAAAAAUAUAACUGAAGUAUUUUAUCACUGUAUCCAAACAAAAAUAUUUAAAAAUAAAGGCAUCUAGCGUCGAUCAUCUCACAAGGUGUUGGGAUGAUUUAUACCGCCGCUUUGAAAAUUAGAACUCUAAGACUAAGAAGGAAAAGAUGAAGGGAACUUGCUACAAAUGGUAUUAUUAAUGUGGCUUGGUGGAACUCUUUACCCUUCUUUACUAGGGAUGACUUUUAUAAAGACCGCUAUGAAUUUUUAAAUUAUCGUUCUCCAUAUCUCUUUGUAUUUUAAUUUGGUUUAUGUUUUGGUUUGGUCCUCCUCUGGUACGGUUUUUCAUUUUUUCAAUAAAUUUUUAGAUCAAGCUGACAUAGGAUGUGGUGAUUUUGAAGUGUCAACAUAGUUGAGAUGUCAAACCUUCUUUUUCAUUGUUGGAGCUUAUGACUUCACCUCCAAUUGCUGAAGGCUGUAACUCAUUAUAAUUUUCCUGCCCACCAGAAUAUUGAGCACUGAAUUUUAAUUUACCAAUUUCCCUACCAUCCAGAUCUGACUUAUGUUCUAAGUUAUAUACAGGUAAGACCCCACACCCCUUUAUCCCCUCCGUUGACCACCACAAUUCUUCAUUGACAUCAUGAUCUGAAAUUAAUACAUGAUCUGAAAUUAAUGUCCCAAUAUAAUUGCAAGCAAAAGUAAAACACGUUUCAACUUCUUUGCCGUUUUCAAAGAUGACACAAUGCAGGGGGUGAUUGCAAAUAUGGAAGCCCUUAGAAAGAAUGGUGCAGAAUAUGAAACCAGACAGGUUAUAUUUUGGAAUAGGAGGAAUGGUUAUUGAAGCCUUUAUUGUUUGAAAAUCAAACUUGCGAGGAACUUGUGCUCCUGGCAAGAUAGAGAAAUAAAAAUCAUCAUGUUCAUUUGCAUGAAAAGGGUAUUUAGAGAAGAUUUGUACCAUGUUCUCAAGAAAUGACCGUUGAGUGGAGUCUGUGUCCAGAUAAGUGCAAUUAAUGGCACUCAAAGAUAAUAGGGAUGGCGGAAGCUCUGUUACAGACACAAGUUUCCUGCAAUCAUCUAAAGCUAGACUUUUUAGCAUUGAAUGGUUUUGUAUGUUCUCGGGGAGACAUUCCAUGUUGCAACACUCAUGCAAUGAGAGCCAUUUUAAAGACUGUAUGCCAUCAAGGAUAGACCACAGACUUAAUGCAUUGAUUUCUGUGCACCCUAAAAGGUCUAGCUCGGUAACAGACCCAAGUCCAUGAUCAUUUGUUAACUUAUUCCCAACAAUGUUAAGCUUGUUACACUCGGAUAGGCCAAGCGAAGUAAGUUUUCUGUUACGCCAAAUCGAUGAAGACAAUUCACGUAUAGCAGUGCCACCUAAGGUCAACUCUGUCAUUUCAUCUGAUGUCACCGAAAAUUCUGUGAGAGAUGCACAACCAUCGAGUAAGAGUUCACGAAGAGAUUUUGAAUGAAUGUUGGUUUUAAGGCUUUCAAUCUUUUUGCAGUCUCGUAAAUCUAGAUAUCUAAGAUCAGGGAGAGAAAAGAUGGAAGGAUGGAGCUGACCCAGGCUUUCACAUUGAAAAAGAUAUACUCUAUGAAGAUUUGUAGCCUUAGAUAAGUCUGGGAUCUCAAUCAGAUUUUUGGAGGAUUCAAGCCAAAGUAUGUUUAGAUUCACAAGAUUCUGUAAAAAGAAAUAAAAACACCAUUUAAAUUCAUAAAUAGAGAAACUAAACCUAAUUAAGCAUAAAUAGAGACUUUUUAAGAAUGAGCAUUAGACUUCCUCUCAUACUUCAACAAAUUAACAAGUAUAUCCAAACACAUUUGUACCUGAACUCCAUCCCAUAGCUUUUUAAGCUUGCUAUGACUCAAGUGAAGCUCUAUGAGCAUUUCAGCACAAAAGGUUGAUGGCAAAUACUCAAGACAGUAUCCUUCCCAUCGAAGAUACCUCAAUUUAUCAGAAAUCCACUCAAGACCAUCGGGAAAGUACACAUUGCACGUGUUUCCUCUAGAUUUAUUAUAGAUUUUAAGAUAUCUUAAAUUUGUCAUCCUUCUAAAGGAAUUAGACUUCAAGUAAAGAUCCCCCACAUCUGUACUAUCGAAUGUUAUCCCUUCGACAGCUUUAGUUCCCUGAUAAAAAUUAAAUUAAUAAUUAGGAAUGGUUGUCACGUAUACUUUCCUUGUUAUAUUUCAUAAUCAAAUACAUGUGUUAUUUUCAUGUAGAAGUGCUUGCAUCCUCUACUUACCUUGUUAUUUUUCAAUACAUCAGAAAUACAUCAGAUAUCUCAUCAGCUUUCCACAGUCGACUUCGUUUUCCAGGGUCUUCAGAUUCUUGAUUAACAAUUUCCCGUCCCAUUUCUUGUAACAAAUCAUGCAUUUCUAUAAUACAAACUUCCCAUUUGACAUGCAAAAUUGAACCUAGUUGAAUGAGAGCCUUAUCUAGAAGGACUUCUAUCCCACUUAUUGCAAAGAACUCACAAGCUUCCAAUAGAUCUCUUACAAAAGUUUUAUCUUUUCCAUUCAACAAGCAUGCGAUGUCUAGAAAUAUGGCCUUCUGACAAUGAUCUAAAUCAUCAUAACUCAAUUUUAACACAUCAUAAAUCUUUCGAUUGGGAAUCUUUUGGAGCUUUUUCAGUUCAUUUUCCCAUGCUUCUCGGCCCCUUGAACUGAGAUUUGCACCUAAAACUUUUAAAGCCAGAGGGUUACCUUUGCAAUAGGCAAUUACACUAUCUGAUAGAUCUUCAUAUCCAGUUUUAGGAUGUUUUUCUUUGAAGGCAAUCAAACUGAAUAGCUGAAGAGAAUCAGGCUUCUCUAAUUCCUUAACCUCAUAUAUUUCACAUUUACUCAACUGACUAAAUAUCUGCUUAUCUCUAGUUGUAAUAAUGACCCUACUACCUGGUCCUAGACCAUCAAUUUUUAGGAUAAGAUCUUCUAUUUGUUCUAAGGUUUCUACACCAUCCAAAACAAUUAAAACUUUUUUACGCCCAAUCCUUCUCUCGGAGAAAGGGGCUUCUAUGUAGGAUGCAUCAGGAUGAAUAUUUUCUUCCUCUAACAAUGAAGACAGAAGUUUAUUGUGUAGAACAUUGAGUCCAUACUUGUUUGAUUCAUCCAUUACAUUGAGGACGCAACGACCUUCGAAUUGGGAAAAAUGUUUAGCAUAUAAUGUCUUAGCAAGGGUGGUCUUUCCUAUCCCACCCAUGCCCCAUAUUCCAAGUACUCUGACUUCAUUUGACCCAAUUUUCAGCAUUGAUUCAAUUUGUUCGUAAUUUUUCUCAAUUCCAACAAGCCCCUUAAUUUCAUAUGGGUACCUAAUAUUCAGUUUCCGCAAAACAUCUUCAACAAUGUCUUUAAUGAAGUCUGGUUCACUCCUAACAUAUGAAAGAUGGGAAGAAUGUUUUACAACAAAAGAAAAAUGCAUUCAUAUAUAUGAUUAGGACAUAAUAAAAUUUAUAUUCAACAUGGUGGCAGAGUAGAGCACAUAAAGAAAAUCAAUUACGUAAGACACAGAAGAUAAUUAAUGUCUUAUUUUUUUAGGAAGUGAAAUCCUAAAGAAAAUUCCAAAAAAUUGUAUAGAUUUUAAAAAAAUUGUAUGAUAACUAUGGCCAGGCACAUCAACAUCAUUGUUUACUUUCUAAAGUUAUUAUUAGCUUUCAUUUUCUCAAAUUUAUGUUCAUUUCCAAUCACGAAUAUGGAAAUGAAAAACUUGUGUAGUAAAAAAUUGUGCUAUAUUAGAAAACAAAACUUGCAAAUCAUAGGAUAUAGUUUAUUGAUUUACUUAGGAUAGUUCGUUUUACUUACCUAUAAUUUCGAGAGUCCCAACCAACCAAAUUAGCUGCCUCGGUGAGAGAAUCUUUCCAUUUCUUCAACUUGUCAUUAUUGUGCUUCAAAUCUUGCUUAUGUUUUGCAAAGGCUUGCUUGUAACUCCCGGUCUGCUUCCUCACAUGUGAUGGAUCUAUGUUGUAAAAAACUGGUAUCACAAUCUGUUGCAUAUAUUUCUUGCAUUCAAGAAUCUUUUUGAGCUCAUUCAAGCACCAUUUUGAGGAAGCAUAGUUUUCUGAGAAGAUGACAAUAGAUGCAUGUGACUCCUCAAUGGCUUUGAUGAGUGCUGCCGAGAUCUCAUCUCCUUUUCGAAGCUCAUUGUUGUCUAUAAAUGUUUCAACUUUCUUUCGGCUCAAAGCAUCAUAAAGAUGGCUAGUGAAGUUUCUGCGAGUAUCCUCACCUCGAAAGCUAAGAAAAACGUCAUAUUUUUUCUGAGGCACCACAUCAGAAGAAACUAUAGAGGAAAAGGCACUGCUCAUUUUCGGCACGGCAGUUAUGAAUUCCAAGUGCCUGCACUGAUUAGGCCACUAAUCACAAUGCUACAAUAAAAAAGAAGUAAUGUUUAAUUAGAGAAAGUAGUAGAUAAAUUAAAAUUGAGGGAAAAAAGAUUAUACGUACCAAAGUCAGAAUCCAGCUUCAUGCAAUAGAGGAGAAGAAUACUGUAAAAGUUAUAAUCCAGCUUCCGGAAUUAAUUUUGGAUGAGCACACACAAACUCUUCAUAAUGCUUUGGUUGGUCAUGAUGUAUAUUGUAUAUAGAUGUAAUGUGUGGUUAUCCUUCAAGGAAGUUUCGUUUGCUUAAACAUUGUGUUUGGUAGAGGUGAUUUAUGAGAGAGAAAUAGGUGAGAGAGAGAGAUACAAGAGAAAUGUUGUAUUUCUUCAGUUUGCUAAUAUUAUGUUUUAAAAAAUAAUUUGUUAGUUGUCAUUAACUAUUCUGUUAUCAUUUGAAUAGGAGGAAUAUGACCGACAACUUGCCGAGGCUCUUUCUAAAGGGUUAACUGUUGAUCAUAGUUUGGCCCUCCAAAUUUGGACCAAAGUUGCUGGCGAUAAAACCAAAGGAAAAUUAUAUGGUGCCGGUAACUUGACCGCUAACUACCGGAAGGGUGUUGCAACAACCCUCAGAUUUACCCUUAAUCAUGGCGAAGGAUCCUCCCAGCAGCCUGCACUGACCCCUGAGAUGCAUGACCUUAUUCAAAGAUUGACUCAAGAGCAGCUCACCCAGCAAAUGGCGAGACAUGAGGCCGUUGUACAAGAUUUGCUUAGCCGCCAACGAACAUAUGAGGAGCAACUGGCUCAAUUUCGGCAAGCACAUGAGGAUGGGAAUUCAAGUCAGCAAGCGUCAGUUCCAGAUCCCAAUGUAGAGCCUUUUCCAAUUUAUGGCGAAGGUGGAAGCGAAGGAAGCAAGGAGAUUGAGAGCGAUGAUGAGGAGUGAAGUUGGACCCUUAUGAUGUGUUCAUGCAUGUUAUUUUAUUUUGCUUUUAUUAUCUAUGGUGUGUAAUAUUUGGGAAAGUUUGUUAUGCUUCGUGAUACAAUUGCUACUUAUUUGCUACUUAUGGUCUAUAACAUUAUUCCCUAUGAUUUUAAUUUCAUUACUGUUGGACUUAAUAUUUUGUGGGUGCUAUUACUUUAAUUUUUAUUCUUAACUACUUAUUUUAAAGCAAUUAAAUUAAAAAAACCAUGUGUUUUAAAUUAUUUUAAAUGAUUUUAAAAUAAUGAAAUUAAAAAAAGCAAUUUAAAAUCGUUUUUAAAUUUAUUUUAAUAAUUAAUUUUAAUUAUUUUAAUGAAAUUAACGUUUUUAAAAAACAAUUAAAAACCAUUUUUUAAAAAAAUUAUCUCUGCAAUUUGCCAGGGGUAUACCCCUUGCAAUACUCCUGUCAUAUUUUGGGUCAGACUGCAGCUGAUUGACAGCGCGUAAGUUCUGCAGUGCGUCAGAAAAGCCUGCAGUGCGUCAGGUAAGCAGGUUGUUGAGUCAGACAAUUAGUCAGGGCCCUGCCAGGGGUUUUUCCAGGAGUUAUAAGAGGGGUUUAGACAGGAGUGUGUCCCACGCAGAUUUGCAGCCCUGGCAUAGCAAUUUGCUAUGAGCGCAUUUGCCACUGAUUCAACUCCUCACAAAAGCCCUGGCAAAUGGCUUUUUCCCAGGGAUUCUUGCAAUUUCACAAGGAAUCCACCCCUGGCUAAUUGCAGGAUUUCUUGUAGUGUUCAAUUGUUUUUCUCUGCUAUUCUCCCUUGUUCAUAAUUGUGGUUCAAAGUACCAAAGGGAAUGGAUUAGGUAUGACAAUUUAUCAUUAAAUAUUCCAAUUUAAUAAAUGACACAUGUUGAACAUUAUUUGUUGCAUUACUUAAUAACUCUCGGAUGCCAUGCCUCAAAACACAAAUGAAUCAAAUGAUGGUAGUAUUUGGCAAAUAAUUUAUAAUAAUAUCUAGAACGAAAUUUGUUUCUUUAAUUAAUAAGACCUCCAUUGCUGCAAGUGGCAAAGUACUUGGAUCAAUUCAUUGGUUCAGGUUGUAAGGCAUUUGAUCCUUUUUAGCAAGUGAUCAAAGGUUUGAUCUCUGACUCUUGUAUAUGAAAAAAAGAAUCCAAUUAGAAGUAGAGAACUCAUCUUGUAUAUCUCACGGGUUCUCUGACGCAGAUUAAUCACCGCUAAAAUUCUUGUGUUUCUUAUCAACAUUUUCUCAUAACAAUAAGCAUUUUCCAUCAUGUUAAGUCCUUUUCUAUUUAAAAAUGAUCUGCAAUGCUAGGGAGAAUGAUAGAUGGUAAGAAACAUGGAAGUUCCCAACUUCCAAAAGAUCCUACUGAAAGGCAAUAAAUAAGCCUAUGGGUGCUCAAAUAUUGUUCUGAAUGAAAGCAAGUUGAUUACCAAAUAAACUACCCUCCCCAAGUGGAUAGCAUAGGGGCAAGUUCCCAAAUUCAAAUACAUGAAACUAGGAUUAUGUUAAUGAAUACCGAUGUGAUUACUGCAAAACGAAGAAGAACGACAAGUCAUUUAGUUACAAAGCAGAUGUUUGAAGAAAGAGGAGUUCAAGUACCAAGAAACACAACAGAAAACAACUGCAUAAAUUUAGGAAGUUUUCUGCCAUGGUAAAAGUAACAAGCAACCUAUCAUUGCACAGCUUGAUAUCACCAGUCUACUGCAUCAACACAUACUGUUGAGUGAAUGUAAUGAUGUUGUGCUCAUUUUACUUGGGAAACAGGAGAAAGAGACCAAAAAACAUUUCUGACUUCUAUUAUUCUUUUGAUCGUUUUAACAAGUGCCUCAUCAAAGAACCUGUCCAAUGUUAUUGCAACAAGACGAAUAUUAUUUUCUAGAAUCACAAGAUUUUUGAAACAAUUCUUCAUUUUGAAGAUUUUUCAAUUAAAAAAAAAACUAAUAUGGAAUGUAUAACUAGAGAGUGGGUUUUGAGUUUCAUACCUAUUGAACAAGAAGGUUGUUCUUGGUAUUCUUCAUUAUCAUUGUUAGAGCUUCCGACUUCACCUUCAAUUUUUCUUGGCUGUCAUCAAUAUCAUUUUUCAAAUCAAAAUCAAAUUCACCAGAGUCCUGAGCACUGGAUUUUAAUUUUGAUUUAACUAUUUCCUCACGACUACUACUUAUAACAUACAGCUCCGACUCACUUUUCAAGUCAUAUACAGGUAAGACUCCACACCCCUUUAUCCCCUCUGUUGACCACCACAAUUGUUCCUUUUGACCUUGAAGUAGGAACUGAAAUGAUAGGUUGCAAAAGUCAUGACUUCCAGUUUCUUGUUUGUUGUAACCAUUCCAGCAUAUCAAUACAUGAUCUGAAAUUAAUGUCCCAAGAUAUUUGCAACUAAUACGACAUCUGUCGACUUCUUUGCCAAAGUUGCAUGCAACUUCUACACCUGACAAGAGAGAAAAAUGACGAACACCAUCUUCAUCAGGAGUGUCUUUAGAGAAAGUUCGUACCAUGUUCUCAAGCAAUAACCGUUGAGUGGAGUUCAUAUCCAGAUAAUUGCAGUUAACAGCUGUCAAAUAUAACAGGGAUGCUGGAAGCUCUGCUAGAGACACAAGUUUCCUGCAAUCAUCUAAAUCAAGCCAUUUUAGGAUUGAAUGGUUUUGGAUAUUCUCGGGGAGACUUUCUAAGUUGCAGCACUCAUUCAAUAUUAGCUGUUUUAAAGAUUGUAUGCCAUCAAGGAUGGACCAAAGACUUAAUGCAUUGAUUUCUGUGCACCCUGAAAGGUCUAGCUUUGUAACAGACCACAGUCCAUGAUCAUCUCUUAACUUAUUCCCAACAAUUUUAAGCUUGUUACACUCAGAUAGGCCAAGCCAAGUAAGUUUGCUAUUGCGCCAAAUCGAUGAAGACAAUUCACGUAUAGCAGUGCCGCCUAAGGUCAACUCUGUCAUUUCCUCCGAUGUCACCAAAAAUUCUGUGAGAGUUGAACAACCAUCGAGUAAGAGUUCACGAAGAGAUUUUGAAUGAAUGUUGGUUUUAAGGCUUUCAAUCUUUUUGCAACCUCGUAAAUCUAGAUAUCUAAGAUCAGGGAGACAGAAGAUGGAAGGAUGGAGCUGACACAGGCUUUCACAUUGAAAAACACUCCAUGAAGAUUUGUAUCCUUAGAUAAGUCUGGGAUCUCAAUCAGAUCUUUGGAGGAUUCAAGCCGGAGUAUGUUUAGAUUCACAAGAUUCUGUAACAAUAAAUAAACAUGACAUUGCUUAGAAACCAUUAAAUCCAUAAUUAAGCAUAAAUAGAGACUUCUUAAGAAUGUGCAUCAGACUUCCUCUCAUACCUAAAUAAAUUAACACGUACGUAUAUCCAAACACAUUUGUACCUGAACUCCAUCCCAGAGCUUUUUAAGCUUGCUAUGACCCAUGUGAAGCUCUAUGAGCAUUUCAGCACAAAAGGUUGGUGGCAAAGACUCAAGGCAGUAUCCCUCCCACAUAAGGAACCUCAAUUUAUUAGAAAGCCACUCAAGACCGUCGGGAAAGUGCACAUUGCAUGUUCUCCCAUUAGAUAUAUUAUAGAUUUUAAGAUAUCUUAAGUUUGUCAUCCUUCUAAAGGAAUCAGACUUUAAGUAAAGAUUCCCAACUUCUGUACUAUCAAAUGUUAUACCUUCCACAACUCCCGUUCCCUACCAAACAAAAAUCAGAUUAUUAAUUAGGAAAGGAUGUAAUAAAUGUUUGCUUGUUAUAUUUCAUAACCACAAACAUGUGUUUUCAUAUGGAAGUAAUUGCAUUGUCUACUUACCUUGUUUUUUUUCAAUACAUCAGAUAUUUCUUCAGCAUUCCACAAUCGACUUCGUUUUCCAGGGUUCUUAGAUUCUUGAUUAACAAUCUCUCGUCCCAUUUCUUGUAACAAAUCAUGCAUUUCUAUACCAUCAACGUCCGACUUGACAUAAACAUGCCAUAUUUUUUUUAGUUGUAUGAGAGAUUUAUCUAGAAGGACUUCUAUCCCACUUACUGCAAAGAACUCACAAGCUUCCAAAAGUUUUCUUACGAAAGAUUUACUCUCUUCUCUCAGCAAGCAUGCGUUGUCUAGAAAUAUGGCCUUUUGACAACAAUCUAAGUCAUCAUAACUCAAUUUUAAUACAUUGUAAAUUUUCGUAUUGGGAAUCUUUUGGAGCUUUUUCAAUUCAUUUUCCCAUUCAUCUUUGCCUCUUGAACUCAGAUUAGCACCUAAAACUUUUAAAGCCAGAGGAUUGCCUUUGCAAUAGGCAAUUACACUCUCUGAUAGAUCUUCAUAUCCAAUUUUAGGAUGUUUUUCCUUGAAGACAGUCAAACUGAAUAGCUGAAAAGAAUCAUGAUUAUUCAAUUCCUUAACCUCGUAUAUUUCACAUUUACUGAACUGACUAAUUAUGUGCUUAUCUCUAGUUGUAAUAAUGACCCUACUACCGGGUCCCAGCCCAUCAAUUUUUAGGAUAAAAUCUUCUAUUCUCUCUAAGGUUUCCACGCCAUCCAAUACAAUUAUAACUUUUUUAAGCGCAAUCCUUCUUUCGGAGAAAGGGACUUCUAUGUAGGGUGCAUCAGGAUGAAGAUUUUCUUCCUAUAACAAUGAAGAUAAAAGUUUAUUGUAUACAACAUUGAGUCCAUACUUGUUUGAUUCAUCCAUUACAUUGAGGAAGCAACGACCUUCGAAUUGGGAAUAAAGUUUAGCAUAUAAAGUCUUAGCAAGGGUUGUCUUUCCUAUGCCACCCAUGCCCCAUAUUCCAAGGACUUUAACAUCAUUUGACCCAAUUUUCAGCAUUGAUUCAAUUUGUUUAUAAUUUUUCUCAAUUCCAACAAGACCCUUAAUUUCAUAUGGGUAUCUAAGAUUUAGUUUCCUUAAAACAUCUUCAACAAUGUCCUUAAUGAAGUCCACUUCAAUCCUUGCACAUGAAGGAAGGAAAGGUCUUACAAGUCUAACAAAUACAAUAGAAGAAAAAUACAUCUAUAUGAUUAGUAUACAAAUUUGUAGUCAACAUGGUGGCAUUAACAUCUAUUUUUUCUACGAAGUGAAAUCCUAAAGAAAUUCCAAAAAAUCAAAAAUCAAAAAAAGGUUUUUAUGCUACCCAAACGAUAAGAUGAUGUAUUCUUUGUAUUUAGAUUUAAGAGUAUCAAUUGAGUGAUAAGUGUAUGCAGGGUACAAGAAUAUGUUGACUUUGAAGACUCCUACCCUCUUCCCAAUAGUAAAUAACUGUGCUAUAUUAGAAUACAAAACAUGCAAAUGAUAGGAAAUAGUUUAUUGAUUUUACUUUGAAUUUUGGAAACAUACAAGUGAUGAACAUAUCCAAAGCUGGAUAGUUUGUUUUAUUUACCUAUAAUUUUGAGAGUCCCAUCCAACUAAAUUAGCUGCCUCAGUGAGAGAGGCUUUCCAUUUCUCCAACUUGGCAUUAUUGUGCUUCAAAUCUUGCUUAUGUUUUGCAAAGGCUUGCUUGUAACUCCCGGUUUGCUUCCUCACAUGUGAUGGAUCAAUGUUGUAAAAAAUAGGUAUCACGAUCUGUUCCAUAUAUUGCUUGCAUUCUAGAAUCUUUUUGAGAUCAUUCAAACACCAUUUUGAGGAAGCGUAGUUUUCUGAGAAGAUGACAAUAGACACAUGUGACUCCUCAAUGGUUUUGAUGAGUGUUGGUGAGAUCUCAUCUCCUUUUUGAAGGUCAUUGUUGUCUAUGAAGGUUUCAACUUUCUUUCGACUCAAAGCAUCAUAAAGAUGGCUUGUGAAGUUUCUGCGAGUAUCCUCACCUCGAAAGCUAAGAAAAACGUCAUAUUUUUUCGGAGGCCCCACAUAAGAAGAAGAUAUAGAGGAAAAAGCACUGCUCAUUUUCUGCGCGGCGGUUAUGAUUUCCAAAUGCCUGCACUAAGCCACUAAUCACAAUGCUACAAUAAAAAAAAGUAUUGGGCUUCAUAAAUUUGAUUAUCAUUUGGAAUCAUUUUUGGCAGCAUAACAAAAAGAAUGGCAACAUUCAAAGCGAGCCUAACAAAAAUAAGGCAAAUUCUAUAUUACACCCAAUAUAUUUGAGUGUAUCGGUACAUCCACUCUUUAAAUUAAUAGUUAAAUGAGUUUUUUUUUGAAGAAAAAUAUUAUUUUUUAUCAUUUAUUAUUAUAAUAACUAAAUCUUAUUCAUAAAAAAUAUCAACAAAAUAAAAUUAUUAUUUUUUGAAUUUUUAUUGCUCAUAAUUUAUAACAUUUAUUAUUUUUUACGAUAAUAUGUAAAAAAAAAUACUAUGAUUGUCAUAAACAAUGAAAUGAUUUUUUUUUUUUUUAUGAACUGAUGUUAUAUAAAAUAUAACUAUUGACAAAGAGCUAUUUAUUACAUAAAAAAUUAUCGUUAAUUUAUAAAAUUAUGAAGAAGGAGUACCGGUACACCUCACUUUGUGAGUGUACCGUAGAAGUUUCCCAACAAAAUAAUUACAAUAAUAUAGAUGAAUGUCUUGAGACAAUUUAUUUUUGGCGAUUACUUUCUCCACCCUAUAAGGUUCUCACACGUCCUUUUUUUUUUCUUUCCAAAUUGCCCCUUAGAUUUUAGAAAAUGAAAACCAAUUCCAAAUAUAAAUUCCGAAACAUUUCGCUUUAUAAAAGCAAGAUCAGCAACUUCCACCAUUUUACAGUUUUAGUUUUACAAUUUCACUUUCUCUCUCUCUCUCUCACCGAUCCCAUAAUCCUAAAAUAUUGGUCCAAUCUUUGAGUUUUUUUUGCUCAAAAUCAUCACAUUUGAAGCUUUAUCAAACCCCAUAGUGAAGGUUAGGUCUCAUUCCAUCUGCAUACAAGCCUUUGAGUUCGAAUAUUUUUUUUGUGGCAACUGAAUAUGUUUGGAUUAUAAAAUCCAAACUGGAUUGUUGAAGUUCAGAUUUUAUAAUCUGAAGUGUACCUGUAGGCAGAUUUUUGGACAAUUUUGUGGAUUUAUAUUGAUUGCGUUUUACCUGGUUAUGCAUGUUACAAGCAUGGAUCGUGUUGGGCGCACCGUGGGUGAUGGAGAAGCAAUGCAUGUUUAUGUUUGGAGAGAGCGUUUGGAGAGGUUGCAAGCGGAGGGGAGAGUGCCCAGGCGUGGCAAGGGCAGGGAAAGGGCACGCCGUGGUGAUGCUGAUGGCGAGGGAACAUCUCAGGGGAACUAUAUUGAGCUUGAGCCACAGAGGGAGAUAAGAGAAGGUGGAGGGUGAUGUUGAGCAACAGGAGGAGGGUGAUGAAGAGCAGCAUGAGCGUGUGCAGCCAAAGCCAAAGGAGCUUGAUCACUAUCUUGGUGGCCCACACGACUUGACUGUGCUGACCAAGUACCAUGUUCACGUGGUCAGGAUGGCAGUUGAUGAAGUGGUAAGACACUGCACCUUUAAUUUAAUGAAAAUUGAAUUUUUAUGUUUAAUUAAUAAUAAUUGUAAACUUUUUGUUAAUUUUUGUCAUGUAUUAUUUCGAUUACUGUGAAACUGAUGUUAAUUUUUUGUUUUAAAUUUUAGCAGUGCGGUGACAAUUUAAAAUGUGUAAACAACAGGAAGAAGAUAGAAGCGAUACAUAAACCAAAGGUUUAAAUGUAUUUCAUCCUUGCAAUUAAGGGUCGUUUAAAAAUUGGUCCCUGUAUUCGCUAAUCCUUGCAAACUAGCCUUGCAAUAAUUAAUCAUUUAAAAUUUCGUCCUUUGACCAACUUAAUCACUGCCACGUCACUAAUUUGAUGACGUGGCAAUCACUAUCACACAUGAAAUUCCAAUUUUUCUCUUAAGAAGAGGACAAAAUAUUGAAGAAAGAAUUAGAAACUCAGGGGUAAAAUUGGAAUUUCAUGUGUGACAGUGAUUGGCACGUCAUCAAAUUAGUGAUGUGGCAGUGAUUAAGUGGGGAGAGGGACGAAAUUUUAAAUGAUUAAACAAUGCAAGGGUAAAUUGCAAGGAUUAGCGAUUACAGAGACCAAUUUUUAAACGACCCAUAAUUGCAAGGAUGAAAUACAUAUUUAAGCCUAAACCAAACAAGACUCUGAUGGCAAGACUGUGUGGUUUAAGCAUGGGCUGAAAGUCACUGGUCUUCGGUGGCUGCAGGAUAUCAGCUACAGCCAGAUUGAACACGGGCUUUGUUCUGCAAUUGUGGAGAGAUGGCACGAGGAGACAUCGAACUUUCAUCUUCCGUUUGGGGAUAUGAUAGUGGCACUGGAUGAUGUGUCAUGUUUGCUGCAUCUCGCCAUCGAGGGUAUGCUCUUGUCCUAUGAAAGUAUGUCAAGGGGUGAUGUUGUUGAGUUGUUGAUGGAAUUGUUGAGGGUUGAUGCGGGCGAGACAUGGACCGAGGUGGAAAAGAAAAAAGGUGGACAUGCACGGUUUAACUUCUUGAAGGAUAUAUACUUUCAAGGAGCAUGUUCGGGAGGCACAUGAGGUCUACCAUGCUGGUCAGUUUGUUGAGAUGCAGCAGCGGGAGUAUUUUCCAACAGAAGGUAUGGCCUAAACUAAUUUUAUCAAUUUAUUUAUUUCAAAUUCUAUGAUCAAUUUGAAAAUGACCUAUGUAAUUAGAGAAACUAGCAGUUAAAUUAAAAUUGAGGGAAAAAAGAUCAUACCAAAGUCAGAUCAAUCCAGCUUCAUGCAAUAGAGGAGAAAAAGACAGUAUGGCUUAGCUUCUGGUGGAAUCAAAUUUGGAUGAAAAUUAAUUAAGGAUAAACACACACAAACACUUCAUAAUGCCUUGGUCCUGAUGUAUAUACAUGUAAUGGGUCAAAUUUAAAAUAUAAAAUAACAAGUGUGGCUUAGCUUGCUUCCUUUUUGAUGGAGACUACUAGAUAAACUAUGGAAUUGGAUUUCAGAUUAAAAUAUAUGCAAAAUUAAGCUUGUUGUCCUUCAAUUUUGAGUCAUUUUUCAGAUUAUACCUAUUCACGUAUGUAAACACAAGUUAAUUACAAUAGGUGAGUUGCUGAGUGAAAUGUCUUAGGUGCAAUUCCAAGAACAAUUAGAUUAUACCUAUUAAGCUUGUUGUCCUUUAAUUUUGACUAUUUUUCAGAUUAUACCUUUUAGUUUUUCUUUCUUCCUUGAAUAGUUUCUUCAAAUAUUUAUAAUUACCAACAGAAGGUAGAGCCUUGGACUUAUACAAUAUAUAAGUGGCUUAGAUGUAUUCUUGUCUUUCGUUGGUCUAUGAAAUCGUAAAAACAAACACUUUCGUAUAUUUAAUUAAAUUUAAAGGUAAAGUAAAACAUUAAAUUAAUUUUAAAAUCCCUCCCCUCGUGAACCACAUCAAUUAAUGUUUUUAUUUUUUGUGGAAUUUCUAAAUGUUUUAAUUGAUUAGUUUUUUUUUUAAAGAAUGUUUUGAUUGAUUAGUUGUGUAUGUACAAAGCUGUUUUAGACCGUCGACUCGUUAAUCUUAAACCCUUAACAAAAACUGAUUUAGACCGUCGACUCGCUAAUCAAACCAAGUAAUUAAAUUAAAAAAUUACUUUCUGUUGGAGAAAAGAUACUAUUUGGAAUAUGCAUUGGAAAUAAUGAGUAGCAGAGAGAUUACAAACACUAUAUUAUUUUGUGGGAAAACCAAGAUCUUUGAUCUGUAUCAUUUAAAAAGGAAAGACCAUUAACAGAACCAUUAUUAUUCUUCUUAUCUUUAUUUCUUAUGACUCAAAAUCAUGAAACUCAAGUAGCUACUGCAAUAGGGAGAAAAAGAGGAAGAAGACCGACAAUUCAUUUAAUGACGAAGCAGAAGAUGUUAGAAGAAAGCAGCAUUGCUAUCUUCAAUGAUCAAGAACAUUGACACUGUGAUGUGAUCCUAAAAUUCUCUCUCUUGACAAGAAUAAUAAAGUCAUUGUAGAAUAAAAGAACCAAAUUAAUUUUGGGUUCAAAGUUUUAUUUUCGUAGGUCAUUAUAUGUCUGUCUUGUUUUGGCUAUAUCUGGAGCUCUGGAUAUCCGUUUGAGGUGAUCUUUAACUCGUUGGAAAGCUUACGAAAUUCUCUACAUUUCAUCUGUUUGAUUCAAGAGCAAAUUCGGAAUAUUUAAUGGUGCAGAAUGAGCUGUAGGUAGAAGACGUGGUUAAAGUAUGUUAGCUGAAGAAUUAAAGGUGGUGUUUGUGGAAUUGUAACGUCUAGCCAUAAUAAGCCUUCACAAAUCAAUGUGCAAAUGAAUAUGUAACCUUCUCAUGCAUUGAUCAACCACCAACUUUAAAGAUCCAAUUAAAUUGUAACCUCUUUUGUAAUAACUAGCCACCUAGGAAUUAUAACACUAAUUAUGCUAUGAUUGUAAGUUUUUCAGCUUCCAAGCCUAUUUCCUAUAAAAAGGGGGCGAAAAUAAUGAAGGGGACAAGUUGAAUUUAAAAAAAAUAAAAAAUAAAUAGAGAAUUUUAGGAUCACAUCACACUGCUAAGGAAAAUGAAUGGGGAUCUUUACACAAAAUUAUGAAACGCUGCAAACCUGGUUAUAGCUGACUACUUAUACCAACAAUAAAAACAGGAUCAGAUUGAUUAAUACCAGCAAUCACAGCACAGAACUGCUGAAUAAAAUUAGGAAUACUUCUGCAAAGGUAUAAAUUAUAAAGUUUAAAUAUGCCUUUAGUCCUUGCACUUUUAUCAGAUUUUGGCAUUGGUCCCUACACUUUUUUUUGUUUGGAAUUGGUCCCUGCACUUUGUAAAAAUAUUGGUAUUGGUCCCUGCACUUUGUAAAAAUAUUGAUAUUGGUGCCACGUGGCGUGAAAUGAUUGGGCCACGUGGCACUCCGUUGAUUUUGUGUUUUUUUUUUUAACAGAAAGUUAACAGGGGGUCAAUACCAAUAUUUUUACUAAGUGCAGGGACCAAUGCCAAAAUCUGAUGAAAGUGUAGGGACCAAUGACACAUUUAAACCAAAUUAUAAUUAGCACAACGUAUCAUUGCACUUAGGCAUUUAAAUGAUGAAUUUAAUACCAGUCUACUGCAUCACCGAAUCUUUCUGAAUGAAUGCGAUGAUGUUGUGCUUAUUGUAUUUGAGAAACAGGAGAAAGAGAUUACAAUAUUUCCGACUUGUAUUAUUCUUUUGACCCUCUUAGCAAGUGCCUCAAAAAAAGACCUGCCCAAUAUGUUGUUUCAGCAUAAAGUUAUUGCAAUACACCGAGCAUUAUUCACUUGAAGGAUUAAAAUUUUCUAUUAAAUAAAAAAUAUUGAAUCUAUAAUUAUAAAGUCGGUUAAAACUUCAUACCGAUUGAACAAGAAGGUUGUUCCUCUUUGCAUGAAUAGGAAGGUUGUUCCUGGUUAUCUUCAUUUUCAUUGUUAGAGCUUCUGACUUCACCUCCAAUUGCUAUAGACACAUCAGAGUCUUGAGCAAUGGAUUUUAAUUUACCAAUUUCCUUACUAAUGAUACUGCUACCACCACCUUCCAACUCACGUUCUAAGGCAUAUACAGGUAUGACCCCACACCCUUUUAUCCCCUCUGUUGACCACCACAAUUCUUCAUUGGGACCUUGAAGUAUGAAUUUAAAUGAUAAGUUACAAUCAUAACUUCCACUUUCUUGUAUGUUGUAACCAUGCCAACGCAUCAAUACAUGAUCUGAAAUUAAUGUCCCGAGAUAAUUGAAUCUAAUGCGACGUCUGUCGACUUCUUUUCCGCAUUCAAAGAUAAUACAAUGAAGGACAUGGUGGUUAACAGUGAAGCCCUCAGAAAAAAGGAUGCAAAAUAUGAAACCACACAAGUCAGAUUUAGCAAUAGGAAGAAUAGUUAUUGAAGCCUUGAUUGUCUGAAAAUCAAAAUUUAAUGGAAUUUGUGCUCCUGGCAUGAAAGAGAAAGGACGGAUAACACCUUCAUGUUCAAUAGAAGGGUCUUCACAGAACUUUUGUGCCUUGUUCUUAAUCAAUGAAAAUUGUGUGAAGUAUGUGUCCAGAUAUGUGCAAUUAACGGCUGUUAAAUAAAACAGGGAUGGCGGAAUCUCUGUUAGAGACACAAGUUUCCUGCAAUUGUCUAAUUCAAGCCAUUCUAGCAUUGAAUGGUUUUGUAUGUUCUUAGGGAGACAUUCUAAGUUGCAACACUCAUUCAAUUUUAGCCGUUUUAAAGAUUGUAUGCCAUCAAGGAUGGACGACAGACUUAUUGCAUUGAUUUCUGUGCACCCAGAAAGGUCUAGCUCUGUAACAGACCCCAGUCCAUGAUCAUCUGUUAACUUAUUCCCAACAAUAGUAAGCUUGUUACAUCCAGCUAGGUCAAGAACAGUAAGUUUGGUAUUAUGCCAAAUCGAUGAAGUCAAUUCAUGUAUAGAAGUGUCACGUAAGGAUAAUUUUGUCAUUUCCUCCGAUGUCACUGAAAAUUCUGUGAGAGAUGAACAACCAUUGAGUAAGAGUUGACGAAGAGAUUUUGAAUGAAUGUUUGUUUUAAGGCUUUCAAUACUUAUGCAACCUCUUAAGUCUAGAUAUUGAAGUUGAGGGAGAGAAAAGAUGGAUGGAUGGAGUUGACGCAAGCUUUCACAUUCCGAGAGAAGUACAACAACAAGAUUUGUAGCCCUAGAUAAGUCUGGGAUCUCAAUCAGAUCUUUGGAGGAUCGAAGCCAAAGUGUUCUUAGAUUCACAAGAUUCUGUAACAAGAAAUAAACAUCCAUGAGUGUUGAUUAAAAGAGAAACAAAACCUAGUUAAACAUAAAGAGAAACAUCCUAGCUCUGCUGCAAUUUAGUGAAAAACAUUUGUACCUGAACUCCAUCCCAGAGCUUUUUAAGCUUGCUAUGACUCAUGCAAAGAUAUACAAGCAUUUCAGCACAAAAGGUUGAUGGCAAAGACUCAAGACAGUAUCUUACCCAUAGAAGAUACCUCAAUUUAUCAGAAAUCCACUCAAGACCGUCAGGAAAGUACACAUUGCCUGUGCUCCCAUCAGAAUCAUUACAGAUAUGAAGAUAUCUUAAAUUUGUCAUCCUUCUAAAGGAAUCAGACUUCAAGUAAAUAUCCCCAACAUUUGUACUAUGGAACCUUAUACCUUCCACAACUUCAGUUCCCUGACAAAUAAAAAUUAGAUUAAUAAUUAGGAAAGGCUGUCAUGUGUACUUUCCUCGUUAUAUUUUAUAAUCACAUACAUGUUUUUUCGUAUAGAAAUGAUUGCAUUCUCUAGUUACCUUGUUUUCUUUUAAUAUAUCAGAUAUUUCUUCAGCUCUCCAUAACCGACUUCGUUUUCCAGGAUCUUUAGACUCUUGAUUAACAAUCUCCCGUCCCAUUUCUUGUAACAAAUCAUGCAUAUCUAAACCAUCAGUUUCCAAUUUGGCCAACGAGUGCCAAUUUGAUUUUAUUUGUAUGAAAGCUUUAUCUAGAAGGACUUCUAUCCCACUUUCUGCAAAGAACUCACAAGCUUCCAAGAAAUGUAUCACAAACAUUUUAUUCUCUCCUCUCAACAAGCAUGCGAUAUCUAGAAAUAUGUCCUUUUGAAAAAUAUCUAAGUUAUCAUAACUCAAUUUUAACAUAUUGUUAAUUUCCCCAUUUGGAAUCCUUUCGAGCUUUUUCAAUUCAUCUUCCCAUACUUUUUUGCCUCUUGAACGGAGAUUUUUACCUAAAACUUUUAAAGCCAAAGGGUUGCCUCUGCAAUAGGCAAUUACACUUUCCGAUAGAUCUUCAUAUCCAAUUUUAGGCUGUUUUUCUCCGAAGGCAAACAAACUGAAUAGUUGAAGAGAAUCAUGUUUGUUCAAUUCAUUAAACUCAUAUAUUUCACAAUUACUCAACUGACUUAGUAUGUGCUUAUCUCUAGUUGUAAUAAUGACCCUACUACCCAAUCCCAACCCAUAAAUUAUUAGGAUAAGAUCAUCUAAUUAAUCUAAGGUAUCCAAACCAUCCAACACAAUAAAAACUUUUUUAAGUGCAAUCCUUCUCACGGAGAAAGAGGAUUCUAUGUAGGAUGCAUCGGGAUGAAUUUUUUCUUCCUCUAACAAUGAAGACAAAAGUUUAUUGUGUAGACCAUUGACUCCAUACUUGUUUGAUUCAUCCAUUACAUAGUGGAAGCAAAGAACUUCAAAUUGGGAAUAAAGUUUACCAAAUAAAGUCCUAGCAAUGGUGGUCUUUCCUAUGCCACCCAUGCCCCAUAUUCCAAUGAUUAUAACAUCAUUUGACCCAAUUUCCAUCAUUGAUUCAAUUUGUUCGUAAUUUUUCUCAAUUCCAACAAGCCCAUUAAUAUCAUAUGGGUAUCUAGGAUUCAGUUUCCGCAAAACAUCUUCAACAAUGGCUUUAAUGAAGUCUGAGUCACUCCUAACAUAUGAAAGAGGGGAAGAAGGUUUAACAUGUCUACUAAAUACAAUAAAUAAACAUCUAUAUGAUUAGAAAUAUAUACAAAAUUUAUAGUCAACAUGAUGGUAGUGGCGUAGUAGAGCAAAAAAAGAAGCAAAAAUGAGAUUCGAGGAAAUGAAAUACCAAACACACAGUGCAAUUAAAGUCUAUUUUUUCUAGGAAGUGAAAUCCUAAAGAAAAUUAUAAAAAAAUAAAAGUUUUAUGAUACUCGAAGCAUGUGUUGCUACUAUUAAGAUUUUAGUGAUACAAAUAGAAUCAGCCAAAUCGAAGUAAAAAAAAUUGUGAGAUAGUGUAUGAUGACUUUGAUAGUUUUGAGAAGGUCAUCAACUAUGGCCAGGCACAUCAAUGUCAUUGUUCACUUCUCGAAAUAAUUUGGCCUGGUUUACUUUCUAAAAUUAUAUUUCGUCUUCAAUUUCUAAAAUUUAUGUUCAUUUCCAACUACAAAUAUGGAGAUGAAAGACUUAUGAAGUAAACAAUUGUGCUAUAUUAGAAACAAAACAUUCAAAUGAUAGGAAAUAGUUUAUUGAUUUUACUUACCUAUAAUUUCGAGAGUCCCAACCAACUAAAUUAGCUGCAUCAGUGAGAGCAGCUUUCCAUUUCUCCAACUUAUCGUUAUUGUGCUUCAAAUUUCGCUUAUGUUUUGCAAAGGCUUGCUUGUAACUCCCGGUCUGCUUCCUCACAUGUGAUGGAUCUAUGUUGUAAAAAACUGGUAUCACAAUCUGUUCCAUAUAUUUCUUGCAUUCAAGAAUCUUUUUGAGCUCAUUCAAGCACCAUUUUGAGGAAGCAUAGUUUUCUGAGAAGAUGACAAUAGAUGCAUGUGACUCCUCAAUGGCUUUGAUGAGUGCUGCCGAGAUCUCAUCUCCUUUUUGAAGCUCAUUGUUGUCUAUAAAGGUUUCAACUUUCUUUCGGCUCAGAGCGUCGUAAAGAUGGCUAGUGAAGUUUCUGCGAGUAUCCUCACCUCGAAAGCUAAGAAAAACCUCAUAUUUUUUCUUAGGGACCACAUCAGAAGAAGAUACAGAGGAAAAAGCACUGCUCAUUUUCUCCUCGUGACGGUUAUGAAUUCCCAGGGCCUGUACUAAGCCACUAAUCACAAUGCUACAAUAAAAAAAAAAAGUAAUGUUUAUUGUGUUCUUGAUACUUUUGACCACACUCAUUCUCGUUGUAAUUAGAGAAACUAGUUGUUAAAUUAAAAUUAAGAAGAAAAAAGAUCAUACCAAAGUCAGAAUCAAGCUUCAUGCAAGAAGACUUUAAAGUCAUAAAUCCCAACAGUAGUAUGGCUUAGCUUCUGCUGGAAUCAAUUUUAGAUGAAAAUUAAUUAAGGAUAAACACACACAAACACUUCAUAUAGAUGUAAUGAUUCAAAAUUAAAAUAUAAAAUAGUAAGUGUGGUUUCGUGGUUAUCCUUCAAGGAAGUUUCGUGGUUUUAUUUUCAGUUUUUCUUUCUUCCUUUGAAUAGUUUCUUUAAAUAUUCAAAUGUGUACGUCGUGGUGUUCUUCAGAAGGUAUGGCCAUCACAUUAUUCUUUAUAACAACCAUAUAAAAAAAAAAAUGACAUUAUGAAUUUGUCAUCAUGUGUGGUCAGAUCAGAUGCAUAAUGUGUAAGACGCCGGCUGAAUAAAAUAUGGCAACAAGAGAAUAUUUAGACAAACAAUGAUGCACAUAAUAUAGUGUGAAUCUAAUUUCCUAUAUUAAACUAAAUAGUUGUUACAUAAGGUUCCAUUUCUUUCUAUUUGUUUUUUUACCAAUCAAAUUAAGUAACCUUUAAACAAAUAUCAUAUAUAGUUGAACCGUUGAAUCUUGAACCUUAUUCACAUGUUCAAUGGCUGGUCCAAUCAUUUGUUUAAUGGUUGGUCCAAUUUAGAAAAUAUUAAUGAAGACGGCCUGCUUUGAUAAAUUAUUUAUUUAAAAACUUAUUUAUAUCCUUUUUUACUAACAAGGAAUUGAGACGUAACCAAAAAAAAAACAAGGAAUUGAGAUGGCCCUCUUCCGAUCUCAUCCCAACCCCACCAAUGGCCAACUUUAAAGCUAUGUUUGGAUUGGUAGAGAGUGGUGGAAUGGAAUUGAAUGAAGUGGGAUAGAUUCACAUUCUAUUGUUUGGUUUUGUAAAAAAAGGAAUAGAAUGGAAUGUAGUGUAAUGGAACUCAUUGCAUCCAAUACCACCUAUUUAACCAAUUUUCCAGUUCCUCCCAAUUUGGGGUGUAUGCAAUGAAAAAACAACAAUCUUCCUAGUAAAUACUAUAAAACAACAAUCAUCACCAAUGGUGGAAAUUAAUCAACAAAAAUUGAAAAAGACUUCCAUAAAAAUGAGUGCCUCAAAAGUAACCUUCAAAAGAUUCAAUUGAUAAGCAAUAAUCCAGCUUAACAUUGAGCUUCUCAUACGUAGCAUUCCAAUUUAUUAUGUCUGAAUUACAAGCAAUCAGAAGUUGAGGACAAGCCUAUAGAAGCUCAAAUUUUUCUGAAUAAAACCAUACCCUACACCGAAUUAGGGCUCUAUGAAGCCUCUAAUACUCGAAACAAUCGAAGAAGCAUUGGGGCUCUAAGACUAAGAAGGAGAAGAUGAAAAGAAACUAGCUACAAAAUUAAAACAUAUGUUUUCAUUGAUUAAUUACAUUCCUAAAGAUACAACACACUUAUCCCCUCUGUUGAACACCACAAUUGUUCCUUGUGACCUUGAAGUAGAAAUUGAAAUGAUAAGUUGCAAAAAUCAUAAAUUUCACUAUCUUGUCUGUUGUGAACAUGCCAGCAUACCAGUACAUAAUCAGAAAUGAAUGUCCCAAGAUAACUGUCACUAAUACAACGUAUGUCGGCUUCUUUUCCGUUUUCAAAGAUAAUACAGUGAACGGCAUCAGGGGCGGUUCUAAGGCCCGGCGACCCCCGGCUCCGGGCCAAAUUUUUUGUGUAAAUCCCUAUGAAUUUCUUAUAUAAACCCCUAUAAAUUGGGCAAUUUCUUUACAUUUUUUAUUAUUUGCUUGCAAUUUCUUAUGUACGCCCUAUAAAUGUGUUGCAAAAAAAUUUUCCGCCCAGGCUUUACAAUAUUCCUGGCUCCGCCACUGAACGGCAUGGUGGUAAACAUUAAAGCCCUCAGAAAGAAUGAUGGAAAAUAUAAAACUGCACAAAUCAGAUUUUGGAAUAGGAGGAAUAAUUAUUGAAGCCUCUAUUGUCUGAAAAUCAAACAUGCAUGCAAUGGAGUCUUCAGAGAAGGUUUGUAACAUGUUAUUAAAAAAUGACGGUUGAAUGGAGUAUGUGUCCAGAUAACUGCAAUUAACGGCAGGGAUGGUGGAAGCUCUGUUAGAGACACAAUUUUCCUGCAAUCAUCUAAAUCAAGCCAUUCCCAACAUUGAAUGGUUUUGGAUAUUGUCGGGGAGAACAUCUAAGUUGCAACACUCUUUCAAUUUUAGCCGUUUUAAAGACUAUAUACCAUCGAGGAUGGACCACAGACUUAAUGCAUCGAUUUCUGUGCACCCUGAAAGGUCUAGUUCGGUAACAAACCCAAGCCCAUGAUCAUCUGAUAACUUCUUCCCAACAGUGUUGAGCUUGUUACACUCAGUUAGACCAAGAGAAGUAAGUUUGCAAUUACGCCAAAUCGAUAAAGAUAAUUCACGUAUAGCAGUGCCAUGUAAGGAUAACUCUGUCAUUUCCUCUGAUGUCACCGAAAAUUCCAUGAGGGAUGAACAACCAUCAACUAAGAGAGAUUUUGAAUGAAAAUUGGUUUUUAGGCUAUGACUCAUGCAAAUCUCUACAAGCAUUUCAGCACAAAAGGUUGAUGGCAAAGAUUCAAGACAGUAUCCAUCCCAUCGAAGGUACCUCAAUUUAUCAGAAAUCCACUCAAGACCAUCGGGAAAGUACACAUUGCAUGUGCUCCCAUCAGAUAUAUUAUAGAUUUUAAGAUAUCUUAUAUUUUUCAUCCUUCUAAAGGAAUCAGACUUCAAUAAAGAUCCCCAACAUCUGUACAAUGGAACGUUAUACCUUCCACAGCUUCAGUUCCCUAAUAAAAACAUUUUUUUUUAAUAAUUAGGAAUGGUUCCCUGAUGAACUUUCCUUGUUAUAUUUCCCUGACGCAUUUUUGUUAUAAUUAGGAAUUGCAAACUCUAUUACCUUGUUGUUUUUCAAUAAUUCAGAUAUUUCUUCAGCCCUCCACAAUCUACUUCUUUUCCCAGGGUCUUUAGAUUCUUGAUUAACAAUCUCCCGACCCAUUUCUUGUAACAAAACAUGCAUUUCUAUUGUAUCAACAUCCAGAUUUACAUGCCAAAUAAGUUUUAGUUCUAUGAGAGCUUUAUCUAGAAGGACUUCUAUCCCAAUUGUUGCAAAGAAUCGACAAGCUUCCAAUACAUGUUUUACAAAAUCUUUAUGCUCUUCUCUCAACAAGCAUGCGAUAUCUAGAAAUAUGGCCUUUUGACAACAAUCUAAGUCAUCAUAACUCAAUUUUAACACAUUAAAAAUUUUCCUAUUGGGAAUCUUUUGGAGCAUUUUCAAUUCAUUGUCCCAUGCUUCCUUGCUUCUUGAACUCGGAUUUGCACCUAAAACUUUUAUAGCCAGAGGAUUGCCUUUGCAAUAGGCAAUUACACUCUCUGAUAGAUCUUCAUAUCCAAUUUUAGGAUGUUUUUCUCCGAAGAUAGUCAAACUCAAUAGUUGAAGAGAAUCAUGUUUGUUCAAUUCCUUAACCUCACAUAUUUGCACAUUUUGUGAAUUGACUAAAUAUGUGUUUAUAUCUAGUUGUAAUAAUGACCCCACUACCCGGUGCCAGUCCAUCAAUUUUUAGCAUAAGAUCUUCUAUUUGCUCUACAGUUUCUCUACACUAUCCAGCACAAUGUAAAAUUCUUUACGUGCAAUCCUUCUCACAGAGAAAGGGGUUUCUACGUGCAAUAAUUCUCACUCUGUUUUUUUAUUUUUUUAUUUUUUUUUCUUCUUUCUAAUCCUUUGAAUAUCUCCAGGUUCUUACUUUAUUGAAGGAAAUGUAACAUGAAGAAAAUAUAAGGAAAUGUAACAUGAAGCAAAAUUUGAGGAAAGAAAAGUUAGGCCUCAUCCUCAAGUAGUAGGAAUGUAGUCCAAUUUUGAUGGCAAAUUACACCCUAUUUCCAUUAACUUUUCAUCGGUAAGAACCAUGUCAUGGACGAGUCUUCAGAUAAGCAGAGACUUUGAGGGAGGAAUAUCUUUGCUCCAAAGUAGGAGCAAUGUGUUUUUUAAAAGAAUAAGUAUCUUUUAAAAGCUAAAUUUCCAUCAGAGGUUCUUUUCCAAAUCAAAGAAUCUUCACAGUCUUCAUCAGGAAUAGUUGCAGCACAAGCAAGCUAAUAGUAGGGAACAUCAACAGGACAUCACGAAGAAUGUUCCAGUGAAAAUUGGUGAAAUAGUAUUAGUCAGACACUUUUGAAGGGAAAGUGUUGAUAAAUAUAUUUUUCCUUAUAAAUAUAAAAAUAAAUAUUUGUCACCGAUACAAUAAAAAAAAUACACAAGACAAAUAUUCAUAAAAAAUUGGAUUAUUAUUUUUCAUUGAUAAACAAUCUAUGACACAAGAUAUAAACGGAGAAAUAAUUGUCACUAUUAAGCAGUAGUAAUUGACACAAGAUAUAAAUACUUUCAUGUACUUGAAGCUGCUCAUUCUAACCAAGGAAUUUCACUACUUCAACACCAAUGUUGCUCAGAUUUGUUUGCAAACUCAUGCUUACUUUGCUCAGAACCCUUCUCAACAUCCUCUGACCCCUCCAUGAAGUUACAGAAGCAUCAUAGCUCGAUAUCAAACAGUCUAAUGCAUAAACAGAUAUUGCGAUGAAGUAUUGUGCGAGAAACAAUGAGACAGAAAACGUUUCUGACUAUUAUAAUUCUUUGGACCCUCGAUAAAAUACAGCCGGUCAUUAUUUUCUAGAAUCAUGAGAAUUUUAAAACAAUUCUUCAAUUGAAGGAUUUAAAUCUUUUAAUAAAAUAAGCUAAGGUGGAAGGUAUGAUUGAAAAAGUGGAAAUUAUAUAGUGCUACAAUCAAAAUAAUUAACGGCUACUAACUAGCAUAACCUCUAGGAAUUAGAAAGCUUCUGCCUUGUUUAAAGAUACAAACAUACAAUUACACAGACUUGGGUCUAAUUACUUGGCGCCUGCGUCUAACAGAAGGUUGUUCCUCUACUUUGUAAGAAUAAGAAGGUUGUUCCUGAUCAUCUUCAUUUUCAUUGUUAUAGCUUCUGCCUUCACCUCCAAUUGCUAUAGACACAUAAGAGUCUUGAGCAAUGGAUUUUAACUUACCAAUUUCCUUACUAAUGCUACUACCCCAAUAUUCCCAUACAGGUAAGACCCCACACCCCUUUAUCCCCUCCUUUGACCACCGUAAUUCUUCAUUGGGACCUUGAAGUAUGAAUUGAAAUGAUAAGUUGCAAAUAUCAUAACUUCCAUUUUCUUGUCUGUUGUAACCAUGCCAACAUAUCAAUGCAUGAUCUGAAAUUAAUGUCCCAAAAUAAUUGUGACUAAUGCGACGUCUGUUGACUUCUUUUCCGCGUUCAAAAAUAAUACAAUGAAGGGCAUGGUGGUUAAUAGUGAAGCCCUCAGAAAAAAGGAUGCGAAAUAUGAAACCACAUAAGACAGAUUUUUUAAUAGGAAGAAUAGUUAUUGAAGCCUCGAUUGUCUGAAAAUCAAAAAUUAUUGGAUCUUGUGCUCCUGGCAGGAAAGAGAAAGCAUUUAUCACACCUUCUUCAAUAGAAGGGUCUUCAAAGAUCUUUCGUACCAUGUUUUCAAGCAAUGACCAUUGUGUGGAAUCUGUGUCCAGAUAAGUGCAAUUAACAGCUUUAAAAUAUAACAGGGAUGGCGGAAGCUCUAUCAGAGUCACGAGGUUCCUGCAAUCAUCUAAUUCAAGCCAUUCUAGCAUUGAAUGGUUUUGGAUAUUCUCUGGGAGACUUUCUAAGUUGCAACACUCUUUCAAUUUUAGCUGUUUUAAAGAUUGUAUGCCAUCAAGGAUGGACCACAAACUUAAUGCAUUAAUUUCUGUGCACCCUGAAAGGUCUAGUUCCGUAACAAACCCAAGUCCAUGAUCAUCUGAUAACUUAUUCCCGACAAUGUUAAGCUUGUUACAUCCAGUUAGGUUAAUAACAGUCAUUUUGGUAUUACGCCAAAUUGAUGAAGACAAUUGAUGUAUAUCAGUGCCACAUAAGGAUAACUCUGUCAUUUCCUCCGAUGUCACUGAAAAUUCCAUGAGAGAUGAACAACCAUCAAGUUUAAGGUUUCGGAGAGAAUUUGAAUGAAUAUUGGUUUUAAGGCUUUCGAUCUUUAUGCAACCUCCUAAAUCUAGUACAAUAAGUCGAGGGAGAGAAAAGAUGUAUGGAUGGAGAUGACGCAGGCUUUCACAUUUAUAGAGAUGUACUUUUUCAAGAUUUGUAGCCCUAGAUAAGUUUGGGAUCUCAAUCAGAUCUUUGGAGUAAUUAAGGCUAAAUGUGAUUAGAUUCACAAGAUUCUGUAACAAGAAAUAAACAUGCAUUAGUGUCGAUUAAAAGAGAAACAAAACCUAGUUAAGAAUAAACAGAAGCAUGCCAUACUAACUCUGCUGCAUUUUUGUGAAUGACAUUAGACUUCCUCUUGUACCUCUAUAAAGUUAACAAGUACAUCCAAACAUUUUGUACCUGAACUCCAUCCCAGAGCUUUUUAAGCUUGCUAUGAGUCAUGUGAAGCUCUACAAGCAUUUCAGCACAAAAGUUUGAUGGAAAAGACUCAGGACAAUAUCCCUCCCAUUGAAGGUACCUCAAUUUAUCAGAAAGCCACUCGAGACCAUCAGGAAAAUGUACAUUGCAUAUGCUCCCGUUGGAUAUAUUAUGAAUCUUAAGAUAUCUUAAGUUUGUCAUCCUUCUAAAGGAAUCAGACUUCAAGUAUAGAUCCCCAACUUCCGUACUAUCGAAUAUUAUACCUUCCCCAACUUUAGUUCCCUGACAACGAAAAUUAGAUUAAUAAUUAGGAAAGGCUGUCAUAUGUACUUUCAUUGUUAUAUUUUAUAAUUACAUACAUAUAUUUUCAUAUAUAAGUGAUUGCAUCCUCUGCUUACCUUGUUUUCUUUUAAUAUAUCAGAUAUUUCUUUAGCUCUCCACAACCGACUUCGUUUUCCAGGGUUUAUAGAUUCUUGAUUAACAAUCUCCUGUCCCAUUUCUUGUAACAAAUCAUGUAUAUGUAAACUAUCAACUUCCAACUUGGCAUACGAGUGCCAAUUUGGUUUUACUUGUAUGAGAGCUUUAUCUAAAACGACUUCUAUCCCACUUUCUGCAAAGAACUCACAAGCUUCCAACAAAUCUAUUAUAAAUAUUUUAUGCUCUCCUCUCAAAAAGCAUGCAAUAUCUAAAAAUAUGGCCUGUUGAAAAAAAUCUAAGUCAUCAUAACUGAAUUUUAACACGAUAUAAAUUUUCCUAUUUGGAAUCUUUUCGAGCUUUUUCAAUUCAUUUUCCCAUGCCUCUUUGCCUCUUGAGCGGAGAUUUACCCCUAAAACUUUUAAAGCCAGAGGAUUGCCUUUGCAAUAGGCAAUUACACUUUCUGAUAGAUCUUCAUAUCCAAUUUUAGGCUGUUUUCCUCCGAAGGCAUUCAAACUGAAUAGCUGAAGAGAAUCAUGAUUGUUCAAUUACAUGACCUCAUAUAUCUCACAUUUACUGAACUGACUAAAUAUGUGCUUAUCUCUAGUUGUCAUAAUGACCCUACUACCCGGUCCCAGCCCAUCAAUUUUUAGGAUAAGAUCUUCUAUUUGCUCUAAGGUUUCUAUGCCAUCUAACACAAUUAAAACUUUAAUUUUACGUGAAAUCCUUCUCUUGGAUAAAGUGGCUUCUAUGUAGGAUGCAUCAGGAUGAAUAUUUUCCUCCUCUAACAAUGAGGAUAAAAGUUUAUUGUAUACAACAUUAUGUCCAUACCUGUUUGAUUCAUCCAUUACAUUGAGAAAGCAACAACCUUCAAAUUGAGAAUAAAUUAUAGCAUAUGAAGCCCUAGCAAGAGUGGUCUUUCCUAUGCCACCCAUGCCCCAUAUUCCAAGGACUCUAACAUCAUUUGAGCCAAUUUUCAGUAUUGACUCAAUUUGGUCAUAAUUUUUCUCAACUCCAACAAGCCCCUUAAUUUCACAUGGGUAACUAAGAUUCAGUUUCCGCAAAACAUAUUUAACAAUGUCCUUAAUGAAGUCCGAUUCGAUCCUAGAAUAUGAAAGAGAGGAAGAAGAUUUUACAAGUCUAACAAAUACAAUAGUAGAAAAGUACAUCUAUAUGAUUAGUAUACAAAAUUUAUAGUCAAUAAGGUGACAGUGGCUUAGUAGAGCAAGAAACAAACAAAAAUUAGAUUUGGGGAAACAAAAUACCAAAGACACAAGGUAAUAAAUGUAUAUUUUCUAUGACUUUGGUAGUUUUCAGAAGGUUGUGUCAACUAUUACUUUGGCCUGUUUAUUUUCAAAAAUUAUUUUUAGUGUUUGUUUUCUAAAAUUUAUGUUCAUUUCCAAUUAAGAAAAUGGAGAUGAAAGACUCAUGUAGUAAAUAGCUGUGCUAUAUUAGAAAACAAAACAUGUAAAUGAUAUGAAAUAGUUUAUUUAUUUUACUUCGAAUUUUUUCGUUUUGUUUACCUGUAAUUUUGAGAGUCCCAACCAACUAAACUAGCUGCCUCAGUGAGUGCAUCUUUCCAUUCCUGUAACUUGUCAUUAUUGCUCUUCAAAUCUCGCUUAUGUUUUGCGAAGGCUUGCUUGUAACUCCCAGUCUGCUUCCUCACAUGUGAUGGAUCUAUGUUGUAAAAAACAGGUAUCACAAUCUGUACCAUAUAUUUCUUGCAUUCAAGAAUCUUUUUGAGCUCAUUCAAGCACCAUUUUGAGGAAGCAUAGUUUUCUGAGAAGAUGACAAUAGACACAUGUGACUCCUCAAUGGCUCUGAUGAGUGCUGGCGAUAUCUUAUCUCCUUUUUGAAGCUCAUUGUUGUCUAUAAAGGUUUCAACUUUCUUUCGGCUCAGAGCAUCAUAAAGAUGGCAUGUGAAGUUUCUGCGGGUAUCCUCACCUCGAAAGCUAAGAAAAACGUCAUAUUUUUUCACAGAUGCCACAGAAGAAGAAAAAACACUGUUUGUUUGCUUCCUAGCCAUUAUGAAUUCCAAGCGCUGCGCUAAUCACAAUGCUACACUCAAACAUAAAAAAUAUUUGAUGUUUAAAUUUGUUCUCGGUUACUAUUUGUACUGGCACUCGUGAUAGUGUUACAUAUUGAGAUUUAUAAAUCAGAUUGACAUCAGAUCAGGCAGUUCAAAGUCCACAUAUUGCUCAUAUAUCGACCUAGGUAAUGUGUAUUUUUUGAUCUAGGAAAGCUAUAGAAUAUGGCAAUUCCACGGGCCAGAUUAAUUAUUACUUCACAUUCAUAGGCUAUUUAAGUCUAGUUUUAUGUAUGGACUCCAAUCAUGUUUAACCUUGUUGCUUGAAUUGAAUUCUAGGUUUUAUCAGGGUUUCUCUUCAUUAGCCUUUUAAACAUUGAGUAGUAAUUAACAAAUAUGAAGACUAACUUAGCAUUCAUUCUUCAGAACCAAUUUGAAAGACUAAUUUGAAAUAUUUGCCAAUAUUGAUUUCAAAUUCAAGGAUAAAAUUAUGAAUAAACUACAAUUAGAGAAACUAACUAGUUAAAUUAUAAUUGACGGAAAAUAGAUCAUACCAAAGUCAGAAUCCAGCAAUAAUUGAGGAGGAAAAGAAUGUACAAUGACAGUCACAAUCCCAGCAGGGCAAUUAGCUUCUACCGGAAUCAAUAAAUAGCUUCUACCGGAAUCAAAAGCAGGCCUAACCAAAUAAUUCCAAUAAUUUAGAUGAAUGUCUUUAGACACCAAUUUUUUCAUUUUUAAGUGUUUAGGUACAACAGUUCAUAAUGCUUUGGUCGUGAUUUUAUAUGGAUUGAUCAAAAUUAAAAUAUAAAAUAACAUGUGGAUUUCAUGGUUUCCCUUCAUAGAAGUUUCGAUUCCAAUGCGUAGUCAGAUCAGAUGCAUAAAUGUGCAAGACGCCGGCUGAUUAAAAUAUGGCUACAAGAGGAUAUAUAUUUAGAGAGAAUUCAAAUCCUUCUAAGUAAAUUUUAUUGUUUGGAUGAUUAAUUUAGAGAAUUUUUUAAUUUAAUGAAAUUUUAUAAAGUAUUUUGUUCAAGUUAAAUUGAGUGAAUUUCAAAUGACAAAUAAGAUCUAGGAAUUUCAAAUUUCAAGUAUCAUUGUAACAUACAUUUUACUUUGAAAACCUGGUUACUUUUUCUUAUCUAGUUAAAAUAAAUAAAUUUCAAGUAUUGUAAGUGCUGGGUUGAAAGAGAUGUGGUUUGAUCAUUAUGUAGGAUAAAAAAAAUAAAAAAAUAAAAAAAUAAAAUAAAAAAAUCAUGAAUAAAUGUUACUCACUCCAUCUCAAAAUAUAUAAUUUGCUGAGUUUCUGCCUAAUUUCAAUACAUGAUAAUUAGUCUAACAGAUAACUUAGUCUGCAUGAUGCCAAGUUGAUUUCCAAAUUUGGCAUACGGCAUAAAAUACCUUACCUUCCCCAGUCAGUUUGGCAAAGUGGUAAGUUCUUAUUGGUUGUCAGUGUGAAAGAAAUUUACACCGACAGUGCAUGCCCCUAACUCUAUUGAUAAAUGGUAUUUUACAAUGAUCUGAGUAUAGUUUUGACAGUUGACAUCAUUGGAAUGGGAAAUUUUUAGUUGACAAUGCCAAAUACAGUAAGAACUGUAAACAAUAGAACCAACAUUAUAGACUGUUAUUUUGUGGGAAACACCAAUAUCUUAGACCUGUAUCAUUUAAACAGGAAAACCCAUUUACAGAACCAUUGUUCUUCUUAUGUUUCUUUCAUAUGACUCAACCAUGAAAAUCGAGCAGCUACUGCAGAAAGGGGAAAGAGAAACGGGAAUGAAAAUUCUUUUGGCGGUAAAGCGUAUUAUGCUUGGAGAAAGUGGCGCUUCAACCAUUAUGAUCAAGAACAUGAAACCACAAGGGAAUAGGGAUCCAUACACAAAUUGAUUAAUAUACCAACAAGUUCAGCACAAAAAAACUGAAUAAAAUUAGGAAUAUUUCUGAAAUGGUAUAAGUAACAAGCAACGUAUCACAAGAUUUUACAUGAAAAACAGGAGAAAGAGAUCACAACAUUUCUGACUUGUAUUAUUCUUUUGACCCUCUUAGCAAGUGCCUCAAAAAAAGACCUGUCCAGGAAUCAUGAGAAUUUUAAAACAAUUAUUCAUUUGAAGGAUUAAACUCUUUCUAUAUCAAAAUAAACUAAUAUGGAAUUUAUAAUUAGAAAGUAGAUGAGAAGAUUCAUACCGAUUGAACAGCAAGGAUGUUUCUGGUCAUCUUCAUUUUCAAUGUUGGAGCUUAUGACUUCACCUCCAAUUGCUGAAGGCUGUAACUCAUCAUUAUAAUUUUCCUGGCCAUCUUCAAUUUCAUUGUUAGACCAAUAAGACCUGUCAGAAUAUUGAUUACUGAAUUUUAAUUUACCAAUUUCCCUACCAGCCAGAUCCGACUUAUGUUCUAAGUUAUAUACAGGUAAGAUCCCACACCCUUUGAUCCCCUCCGUUGACCACCCCAAUUCUACGUUAUGUAUGAAUUGAAAUGAUAGUUUACAAUCAUUACUUCCAAAUUUUUCUCUUUUGUAACAAUACCAACAUAACAAUACAUGAUCUGAAAUUAAUCUCACAAUAUAAAGGGCAAAACAAAUAAUACACCUGUCGACUUCUUUGCCGUGUUCUAAGAUGAUACAAUGCAGGGGGUGACUCUGAAAAAGGAAGCCCUCAGAAAGAAUGGUGCAGAAUAUGAAACCAGACAGGUUAUAUUUUGGAAUAGGAGGAAUGGUUAUUGAAGCCUUCAUUGUUUGAAAAUCAAACUUGCAAGGAACUUGUGCUCCUGGCCAGAAAAGGUAAUUGGCAUCUUUAUUUACAUGAAAAGGGUCUUUAGAGAAAAUUUGUACCAUGUUCUCAAGAAAUGACCGUUGAGUGGAGUCUGUAUCCAGAUAAGUGCAAUUAAUGCCACUCAAAGUUAUUAGGGAUGACGGAAGUUCUGUUAGAGACACAAGUUUCCUGCAACCAUCUAAAUCAAGCCAUUUUAGCAUUGAAUGGUUUCGGAUAUUCUCAGGGAGACAUUCCAAGUUGCAACACUCUUGUAAUGUUAGCCCUUUUAAAGAUUGUAUGCCAUCAAGGAUGGACCACAGACUUAAUGCAUUCAUUUCUGUGCACCCUGAAAGGUCUAGUUCUGUAACAGACCCAAGUCCAUGAUCAUCUGAUAACUUAUUCCCAACAAUGUUAAGCUUGUUACACUUGGAUAGGCCAAGCGAAGUAAGUUUUCUAUUACGCCAAAUCGAUGAAGACAAUUCACGUAUAGCAGUGCCACCUAAGGUCAACUCUGUCAUUUCAUCCGAUGUCACUGAAAAUUCUGUGAGAGAAUAACAACCAUCAAGUAAGAGUUCACGAAGAGAUUUUGAAUGAAUGUUGGUUUUAAGGCUUUCAAUCUUUUUGCAACCUCGUAAAUCUAGAUAUCUAAGAUCAGGGAGAGAAAAGAUAGAAGAAUGGAGCUGACCCAGGCUUUCACAUUGAAAAAGAUAUACUCUAUGAAGAUUUGUAGCCUUAGAUAAGUCUGGGAUCUCAAUCAGAUUUUUGGAGGAUUCAAGCCAAAGUAUGUUUAGAUUCACAAGAUUCUGUAACAAGAAAUAAAAACACCAUUUAAAUUCAUAAAUAGAGAAACUAAACCUAAUUAAGCAUAAAUAGAGACUUUUUAAGAAUGAGCAUUAGACUUCCUCUCAUACUUCAAAAAAUUAACAAGUAUAUCCAAACACAUUUGUACCUGAACUCCAUCCCAUAGCUUUUUAAGCUUGCUAUGACUCAAGUGAAGCUCUAUGAGCAUUUCAGCACAAAAGGUUGAUGGCAAAAACUCAAGACAGUAUCCUUCCCAUCGAAGAUACCUCAAUUUAUCAGAAAUCCACUCAAGACCAUCGGGAAAGUACACAUUGCAUGUGUUUCCUCUAGAUAUAUUAUAGAUUUUAAGAUAUCUUAAAUUUUUCAUCCUUCUAAAGGAAUUAGACUUCAAGUAAAGAUCCCCCACAUCUGUACUAUCGAAUGUUAUCCCUUCGACAGCUUCAGUUCCCUGAUAAAAAUUACAUUAAUAAUUAGGAAUGAUUGUCACAUAUACUUUCCUUGUUAUAUUUCAUAAUCACAUAGAUGUGUUAUUUUGAUGUAGAAGGGAAUAGAUCCUCUACUUACUUUGUUAUAUUUUAAUACAUCGGAUAUCUCUUCAGCUUUCCACAGUCGACUUCGUUUUCCAGGAUCUUCAGAUUCUUGAUUAACAAUCUCCCGUCCCAUUUCUUGUAACAAAUCAUGCAUUUCUAUAGUACAAACUUCCCUUUUGACAUGCAAAAUUGAAUCUAGUUGAAUGAGAGCUUUAUCUAGAAGGACGUCUAUCCCACUUAUUGCAAAGAAAUCAGAAGCUUCCAGUAGAUCUCUUACAAAAUCUUUACCCUGUCCACUCAACAAGCAUGCGAUGUCUAGAAAUAUGGCCUUUUGACAACGAUCUAACUCAUCAUAACUCAAUUUUAACACAUUAUGAAUUUUUCGAUUGGGAAUCUUUUGGAGCUUUUUCAAUUCAUUUUCCCACGCUUCUUGGCCCCUUGAACUGAGAUUUGCACCUAAAACUUUUAAUGCCAGAGGGUUACCUUUGCAAUAGGCAAUUACACUUUCUGAUAGAUCUUCAUAUCCAAUUUUAGGUUGUUUUUCUUUGAAGGCAGUCAAACUGAAUAGCUGAAAAGAAUCAUGCUUGUUCAAUUCUUUAAGCUCAUAUAUUUCACAUUUACUCACCUGACUAAAUAUGUGCUUAUCUCUAGUUGUAAUAAUGACCCUACUACCUGGUCCCAGACCAUCAAUUUUUGGGAUAAGAUCAUCUAUUUGCUCUAAGGUUUCUACACCAUCCAACACAAUUAAAACUUUUUUACGCCCAAUCCUUCUCUCGGAGAAAGGGGCUUCUAUGUAGGAUGCAUCAGGAUGAAUAUUUUCUUCCUCUAACAAUGAAGACAAAAGUUUAUUGAGUACAACAUUAAGUCCAUACUUGUUUGAUUCAUCCAUUACAUUGAGUAAGCAACAACCUUCGAAUUGAGAAUACAUUUUAGCAUAUAAAGCCCUAGCAAGGGUGGUCUUUCCUAUGCCACCCAUGCCCCAUAUUCCAAGGACUCUGACUUCAUGUGACCCAAUUUUCAGCUUUGAUUCAAUUUGGUCAUAAUUUUUCUCAAUUCCAACAAGCCCGGCCUUAAUUUCAUAUGGGUAUUUAAGAUUCAGUUUCUGCAAAACAUCUUCAACGAUAUCCUUAAUGAAGCGUGAUUCAGUCCUAGCAUACGAAAGAGGGGAAGAAGGUUUGAUAAGUCUACAAAUACAAUGGAAGGAAAAUACAUCUAUAUGAUUGGUAAAUAAAAUUUAUAGUCGACAUGGUGGCACUGGCAGUUCCUUAGCAGAGCAAGAAAGAAAGAAAAUUAGAUUUGAGGAAAUAAAUACCAAUGAUAGAGAAUGUAAUUAAUGUCUAAAUUUUCUAGGAAGUGAAAUCCUAAUGAAAAUUCGAAAAAAAUAAAUAAAUGUUUUAUGCUAGAAAUAUAACACAACUGUGUGGGAUGGAUAGUGCAGAUUUCAAAAAUUGUGUGUAUGCAGGGUACAAGCAUAUGAUUAUUAAAUAGUUUUCAGAAGGUCAUAUCAACUAUGGCCAGGCACAUAAACAUCAUUGUUCACUUCUCCAAAUAAUUCGGCCUGUUUACUUUCUAAAAUUAAUUUUAGCUUUCAUUUUUUAAAAUCUAUGUUCAUUUCCAACCAUGAAUAAGGAGAUGAAAGACUCAUGUAGUAUAUAAUUGUGCUAUAUUAGAAAACAAAACAUGAAAAUUAUAUAAAAUAGUUUAUUGGUUUUACUUAGAAUUUUGAGAACAUACAAGUCAUGGCAUGUACAAAGCUCGAUAGUUCGUUUUACUUACUCAAAAUUUUGAAAGUCCCAACCGCCUAAACUAGCUGCCUCAGUGAGAGCGGCUUUCCAUUCCUGUAACUUGUCAUUAUUGCUCUUCAAAUCUCGCUUAUGUUUUGCAAAAGCUUGCUCGUAACUCCCGGUCUGGUUCCUCACAUGUGAUGGAUCUAUUUUGUAAAAAACUGGUAUCACAAUGUGUUCCUUAUAUUUCUUGCAUUCAAGAAUCUUCUUGAGCUCAUUCAAGCACCAUUUUGAAGAAGCAUAGUUUUCUGAGAAGAUGACAAUAGAUGCAUGUGACUUCUCAAUGGCUUUGAUGAGUGCUGGCGAGAUCUCAUCUCCUUUUUGAAGCUUAUUGUUGUCUAUAAAGGUUUCAACUUUCUUUCGGCUCAGAGCAUCAUAAAGAUGGCUGGUGAAGUUUCUGCGAGUAUCCUCACCUCGAAAGCUAAGAAAAACGUCAUAUUUUUUCAGAGGCACCACAUCAGAAGAAGAUAUGGAAGAAAAAGCACUGCUCAUUUUCUACCUAGUGAUUAUGAAUUCCAAGUGCCUGCACUAAUCACAAUGCUACACUCAAAAAUAAAAUAAAAAUUUAUGUUUAAAUGUGUUCUUGAUACUUGUCAAUGAUAUUUUUGACAGGUACUCGGUUCAUAUAUCUGAUUGACAUCAGAUCAAGCAGUUCAAGGUUCACAUAUUGCUCAUCUAUGGAUAUAAUAAAUAAACAGCAUUUGUUAUUUCAAGUCGUUUGUGAUUCUUGGAAAUUUGUUUGUCUUAUAUUAAUGGCUUGCUUAUGAUGUGGAAAACCUAUACAGUUAUUUUGAAGAUGAAAAAACUUGAAUAGACAUUAAAAGCUUAAUGACAUGAAAUAGUAAAGAAUCUUAACAUUUUUUUGAAUGACAAAUCCUAGUAGUUAGUUGUUAGAUUAAGUAUUGACUAUUUCGUCCAGGUUUGAACCGAGAGUCUCCAACUUCUUAUCCGUGAGUUCAAAUUUCAAACCAGUUGAGCUACUCAACCUCCCAAAUAAAAAAACUUAACUCAGAUUAAGUGAAGAGCAACCAAAAUAAAACAUAGAAUUCAAUUCAAGCAACAAGGUUAAGCAUCAUUGGAGUCCAUACAUAAAAUUAGUCAUAAAUAACCAGCCUAUGAAUGUAAAGCAAAAACAAAUCUGGCCCAUGUAUGAUACUUUUUUCUCAAGCAGCAUUUUCAGAUACAAAACAGAGUAAUUUCCUAAUCAGUAAAAAUGGGGUACAAAUAAGAAAUAUGAAGACUAAUUAAACAUUCAUAUACAAUUCUUGAAGACCAAUUUAAUCUUAUAAGUUAAAUUAAAAUUGAUGGAAAAAAGAUGAUACCAAAGUCAGAUCCAGCUUAAUGCAAUAGAGGAGAAAAAGACUGUAUGGCUUAGCUUCUGCUGGAAUCAAUUUUGGAUCAAAAUAACAAAUGUGAUUUCACUGUUAUGCAAUCCUAAGUAAAAUGGCUUCAUUGCUCUUUAACAGAUACCAUAAGAUAAAAUAUACUGUAACAUACAGUAACCUUGUUGACUUGGGGGCUUCACUUGGGUUCCAACUACUUUUAAGUUUUAACCAGAAAAAUAAAUACAUGUGUAUUUAAGGCCACAAGAUUAAAUACAAACUUUAUCUUAAAAAUAACUCAUUCAACAUCUAAAAUUUAUAAAAUUGAUUUUUUUUUUAAAAUAGAAUUUAUCACUUGUUUCCUUUUUAGUUUUAUACUAAAUGUUUAGCUCAGUUGAUACAGUGCAUAAUAUAUGCAAAAUCCAGGGUUCGAAUAUUGGACGCCAUCAAAAAGAAAUGUUUUUAAAAAGUUAUUAACAAGAUUUUUUCAUGGUAAAUUCUAUCCACUAAACUACUUGAUAAAAAAAAUAUAAAAAAAAAAAAAAAAGACAGCAUCCAUAUUGACGUUAGUAAAUCUUAUGAUAAUUUAUCGAAAAAAUAAUAAUAAAUAAGAAUUUACAUAGAUAUGUUAUUUCGGCCAUACCCCAGUGAAAGUUGAGAAUAGAUAAAAGGUGUUUGUAUUUGACAUUUUUGUCGAAUAUCUAUACUUUUAAAAAAUUAAAAAAAUACAUGGUUUUUGGAAUAACUUUUUCAUUUCUAAUUAUACCUCUAAGCAAAUCUGUCUAGAAGAAAUAGAAGAAAUAUAUAAUUGAAUCCUGUCAUCUUUUAAUUUUUCUAAUUACAUUUCAUGUAUUCAUGGUUACACACUAAAAUGAUAAAAUUAUCCUUAAAUAAAAUUUAAUUUAAUCUUAAACUCGGUUUAAGUAGGUCAUGUAAACUUAAUUUUAGUAGACAAUGUAAACUGAGUUUAAGUGUAACACUUUAAGUAAGUUAUAUAAACUUAGCUUAAGUAGGUCAUGUAAAAUGAUCAGUUUAAGUGUACAUACUAAAAGUUAAAUUUUGCUUUAACCUCUUCAACCUUGUUUAAUGAUUCUACAUAAUCUUAUUUUAAGUAUGUACUUGUAAACUCAACUUAGGUAGACUAUGUGACUAAAUUUACAUGUACCCACUUAAACUGAAUUUAAGUUAACCUCAACGAUGUUAAUUAACGUUGUUUAUGUUGCACCAUUAAAUAAUCGUGUUGUAAAGUGCAUAACAUAUCAACGUUUGAACAACAAAGAAAAAAAAUCGAAACUCUAGCAUCAAUGAAAAAGAAGAAGAAAUUCAAUUAUUUAUAUGCAAUAGAGUAUGGACGAAAGAUGUUUUGAUUCACUCUUUAAUCUUCUAUAUAGAUUGAUUGACCAUCCAUAAUUGUUUGUGGGGGAAAGCGGGUGAAAUUUUAGAGUGACAAUGAAUGAAAUCAAGGUUUUAAGAAAAUUUAUAUAAAAGAACAAUUUUAAUUUUAUUAUAAAAUUUUAAGUAAAUAUAUGUGUAAUAAGAAAUACAUAGGAUGUAAAAAGAAAAACUCUUGUUAUCAUCAAAACUCAAAGUGGUGUUGUCAAACACAUUUUAUUCCAACAAUAUGUUCGAUAAAACGCAUACAAGUCUGGGAUCAUCCUUGACUUUAUAAUGUUGCGUGCAUUUUACCAACUACUUAUCAACAUUUGUAGUGGCCAUAUAUCAUUGUUUUAAACCUGUUGAUUACACCUAAGCAGCAAUGGAGCUAAUUAAUGGAUUUUUUUGACAAUAAUAGAACCAUAACUACAUGACUGCCUACUUGGAAGCUUGAGAAUGAUGGUGUUUAUACAGUUAAGAAUCCAUACAAGGACAUUAUGAAUCAUGAUAUGGCCCUUUUGCAACAUCGUGUGCCGAGAAAUUGGAAUUAUGUUUGAGUUUAAAGUUGCCACCGUAGCUACCACAAUUGUUUGCCUACUACAAUUCGAUUGCAAUUGAAAGGUGUUUCGUGUACUGAUUUGUGCGCGAUGUGUGAAGACUUUGGUGAAGAUAAUACUUAUUUGUUUUUAUGUGUAGUAAAAGUGUGCUUUGUUGGAAGCACACGAUUUUGGAUUCCUUUGAUGGUAGUCUUCGAUCUUGCUGCAAGUUUCUCGAAAAAUGUGUUUUCUAUUCUAUAACAUCUGGACCAGCAGCAAAAACAAAUCUUUGGUGUGACGCUAUGGAGUAUUUGGAAGAAUAGAAAUAACAAGGUUUGUAACAAUGUUACUGAAACAUCUCAAACUAUUUGUGAACGUGCACGUUCCUUCUCGCUAGCUGGAUGAAUGCCCAAACUAUUCGACACCAUACUUUUCGGCAUUCCAUUACACAGAGCGAUCUACAUAUUGACAUAACCAAGUCCCGACAGGUUCAAAUGCAAUGUAGAUGCUUUCUUUUCUCAUGCUCUGAAUCGAGUCGGGCUAGGUAUGUGUAUUCGAGAUGAUUGUUGAACCAAAAAUCUUUUUGAUGAAUGUUUUAAUAAUAACAAACUUUAUGGAAUAAACACUAAGUUUUAUGAAUGGUGAUCUACUGAUGUUUGCACUUAAGUCUUUUCCGAGAAGUAAACAAGAAAUAAGUCUUUUACAAGUGCAUAGAUAUAUUCAAUGAAAGAAUACCAAAACAAUAGCAUCACAAGCUCAAAGAAGAUAUAGAAAAAAUAUUGUUUGAAUCAAAUGAGUAUUGAUUGAAGAUUCAACAAGAAGAUGUAUUUUAUGAUCAAUUGACUCAUCCUCAUCACCACAUGGUUUUCAACAAAGCAUUAAAAAAUUUGAGGAAUAAAGGGUUAAUAUUUGAAAGACACUUAAUGAACAAGAAACAUUGUGUGGAAUCACUAAGAGGAACUAUGAGAAGAAUUGUAUCAUCAAACAAUUCAAGGUUAAUUGACCAAGAAGAUAUUGUCUUCUUAUAUAGAAGAGAACAUUAUCAACUUUGAUGAAAAGAAGGUUCUCAUGAUGAAGAUGAUUAUUACACUCGAAAUAAUUAGAAUCAACUUUGAAGAGAAACCAACCGAUGAAUAAAUUAUUUAUUAAGUCAUUCAUUAAUUGGAGAACUAUCAAGGAAGACAAAUCAUGAUCAUAUGCAUGAAGAUUCUAUCAUAAAAGACUUAGGAUGAUCCAAGAAUCUUCAAUCAUUUUUCAAGAUAUAAUUUGGGAGAAUAGAAAUCAAUAAAAGGAAUUUUUACUUUGAGAAAGGUUUCUCAUGUUCUUACAAAAGAACAUUAUGGUCAUAAAAAGUGAAGAGAACACCUUCACUUUAUGUUUUUAAAGAUAACACAUAUUUACAUUUAUUAUCUUGUUAUCUACUAAUGUGAGAAUGUUUCAGUGAGAAUGUUCUCAAGAACGUUCUGACCUCGCAAAGAUAACAAAACAUCUUUAACAAAGCAAAUGACAAAAAUCAUCUUUUGAUAAAUGUCAAGAAUGUGCAUAAUCAAAGAUCAAGAAUAAUUGUUAUUCUCUUUGUCUCACCAAAAGAAGGAUCAAUGAUCAUAAAAAUCAAGAUCCUUAAAGGCAUUAAAUGGCAAGAAAUCAAGACAAAUCAAAGCAUUAUGGCACAUGGGCCAUGAUAGCAAAAGAACAAAGAUUAAAUCAUAAUGGCCUUAAAAGAGUGAAAAGAUUCAUUAAAGAAAGGCUUAAAUAUGAUAUUAGUCCCUGUAAUUUGGGUCGGUUUUGAAUUUCGUCCCUGUAAAAAAAAAACUUUGAAUUACAUCCCUGUAAAAAAAAAUUUGUUUGAAAAAGGUCUAUGGCCCCACAUUUUUGAUGAUAUGGCAUGGGUUUUGCCACAUGGCAGUUGCUGACUGUGCAACUUAUGCCACAUGGCGCUGACGUGGCAUGCCACAUAAUAUUAAAUUUAAAAAAAUAAUUUUUAAAUUCUAAAAAUUGUUUUUAAAAUUUAAAAAUAUAAAAAAAAAAUCUGAAAAAAAUUUAAAAAUAUUAAAAUUAUUUUUAUCAUAUAAUUUUCAAAAAAAUUUUUUUUUUUAAAUUAUAAAAUCUGAAAUUUCUGAAAAAAAAAAAUGAAAUGAUUUUUUUUUAAAAUAUGAAGAAAAAAAUAUAAUUUUCAAAUUAAAAAAAAUUAAUGAUCGAAAAUUUAAUUUUAACUGUUUUUUUUCGAUUUUUUAAAUGAUUUUUGAAUUUAUUUUCAUAUUUUUUUAAAUUUUUUAAUUACGUGGCUGCCACGUGGCAAAACCUAUGCCAUAUCAUAAAAAAUGUGGGGCCAGGGACCUUUUUCAAACAAAAAAAAAAUUUACAGGGAUGUUUUUCAAACUUUUAUUUUACAGGGACGAAAAUGAUAUUUAAGCCUUAAAGAAAUAUCUCAAAGUUGUUCCUUGUGGAAAAAGCAUAUGACAUCAUCAUAUAGCAUAAAGAUGACAUAAACACAUCUUAUCAAGUGGCUAGCAAGCUUCUACAACAAUAUUACAGCUGAUAACAACUUGCAAAACGUGUUCCUUCUUUGUACAAGUUUGGCUGGUACAGAGAGAACGUUAUGGAGAACGUUCUGGGUAAGAAAAACCAUCAAAGAAAGAUCUCAAAGUUGUGCCUUAGCAUAUGACAUCAUGCAAUGACAUCAAGCUUGCAUCAUCUUAAGUGGCCUCCAAGGCUUCUACAAUCAGGCAUAUAACUCGUUACAUCUUGCAAAAACGUGUUGCUCUGUGCCCAAGUUAUGGCUGGAAUAGAGAGAACGUUCUCGGUGAACAGUUUCAUGCUUUCUCUCCAAGCAUCAAAUGGAGCCAAUUUAUUUUGAAUUUGAAUUGAGCUCCAAUAGCUCUUUUUUGACUUGUUCUCCAAGGAUACAUCUCCUAUAAAUAGAGGACGUCCAUGAAGGUUAAUAGCAAGAGUUUUGAUAUACAAAAGCUUUGACAUCUCUCUCUCUCUCAAAGCUAAAGAAAUCAUUAUCUUCAUCAAUCUCUUUAACAUCUCUUUCGACAAUCACAAAGCAAACUCCAUAAUCUUUCACUAUAUUUAUCAUCUUUAUCUCUCAUUGAGAACAUCUUUCUGAGUUUGUAUUUGUACAAGGAUAGUUUGUUUGAGACGCUAGAUCCAAACAACAUCUUUCUCAUUUUCGUUUGAGACAUUAGAUCCAAACAAUCAUCUUACAAAGAGAUAACUAGAUCUCAAGUCUAUUGGGCUUAAUAGUUUGAGAUAGGAAGAGUUCCAAGCUUUCUUGUGCAAAAGCAAAGAAUUGUAGAAGCCUGCUGAGGUUGAUAAUACAAGGGUUACAGACUGAUCUGGUGUGAUCAAGACCUUAUAGUGUUGGUUAGAAGUUUCUACCAACUGAAUACUAUAGUGGAUAAUCUCACACGAAAUGUGGGGACUGUGGAAGUAACCGGGAUUGGUGAACCAGGAUAACUCUCCUGUGUUAUUCUUCUUUCUCUCUCCCUCUCUAUCUUUUAUUUUUACACAAUAUGCACACACUAUCACACUCAUUAAUAUUUAUAACUCCUCUCUCCCUCCCUCUCUCCUGUGUUAUUCUUCUUUCUCUCUCCCUCUCUCUAUCUCUAAGAUAUUCUGGUCCUAAUUAAUCACAACCAAAUUAAUCCAGAGUUCUCUGGUCGUUAAAUAACCAUUAAUAUUGUUUUAUCAUUCAGCUUAAUAAUUAAUUAUAACUGCUUUAUAUUUAUCCAGAGUUCUCUCGUCCUUAAUUAACCAUAAGAUUAUUUUAUCAUUCAGUUUAAAUAAUUAAUUAUAUAAUUAUUAUCCAGAACAUUCUGGUCCUUAGUAAAACUGCUUAAUUAUUUAAACCUUACUUUAUCCAAAACAUUCUGGUCCUUGAUAAAACAAUUGUUUAAAUAUCUAAAUAUUUUAUAAUCUUCUUUUAUCUAACAUUUACCAAGAAUUUUCUUGAGUACAUAAACUUGUUAAGUUUCAGGAUUAAAUUUAAAAAGGGUCACAAUUCAAACCCCCCCUUUCUUGUGACUAUUUCUUCCACUUCAAUGAUGAGAGGUUGUUUUGUGUUACCUAAAACCAAAUGGUUGACUCCGGUCCUUGAUGUGGACUUGAAGAGGCUUUAGGUUUAUUAUAAACAUUGUAUUGGGUGCGUGAUCUAUAGCUAGGUAUUGUGGAUUUUGGCCUUGAUUCCAAAAAUGUGGUGGAUAGUCUCUAUGGUAGAAAAAGUAACGUUACUAAUUAUAGUGCAGUUAUAAUUGAUUGUAGACGCAUGUUAGCUUGUGAUUUAGCAAUUGAUGAUGUUAGGUUUAAUCAGAGACAAGCCUACGAAGUCGCUGAUGUUAGUUUCUAUAUUCAUACUAAGAUUACAUCGUGUAUCUCAACUAUUAUGCAAUAAGUUUCUUUAUGUCUAAAAAUAAUAAUUCAUUUUCUACUCAUUGUCCAAGAGUAGCACCUCUUAAGCAACCAUACAUCAACACCACUUCAGCGCCACCGUCAAGGGCACCACCAAACAAUGACUCUACCAUAACUCUUACAUCCUCGCCGUAGUCAAAGUCAUUGAAUCCCACCCCCAUCGUCGAUCUAUGAUUUUCCCCUGGUUCCGUCCUGGCCUCGACCAAAACUACAAUCGCCACCAUAAAAGGUUCUAUCUUCACUCCCGUCAUCGGCACCACCUCCAAAACCACCUAAUUGCAUCUCUAUUUACGGAAUCAUUGACUUUGAGGACAAGGUCAAUUUUGAAGAGCAGAGUAGUGAUAACAUUAACCAAGAGGAAGAAAUUUCGGAUAACGUAUAACAAAUGAUGUUAAAGUGAAGGGAUUGCAUUACUAUCCAGGAACAAUAAGAUUAGCAGAUAAUAAUAGGAAGGUAGUUUUAUAUUUGUUUGUUAUGUUCUGAGUAAUAAUAGAUAAUUUAGUUGUAUAUCCUUAGAUAUUAAUAACUUCGUUUUUUUUUGUCAAAUUGUCUAGUGGUUAAAACUCACAUAUUUUUUAUUAAAAAAAAAAUAACUAACACAUUUUAAAUAUGGACAUAAGUAUUUCGUGAUUAUAUAUUACCGAAACUUCUCUGAAGGACAUAAAUCUAUAUUUCAUUUCUUGAUUGCUUUUCAGAGAAGUUUCGAUAAUAUAUAAUACAAUAACAAUAUUGACUUGGGUUCCAGUCUACUUUCUAUAAAAAAUAAAAAAUAAAAUGGGUUUAUGCCACGUUGUAUAAAAUAACAAUAAUAAAAUAAAUAUAAUAACCAUAUUAAUUAAUAAAAAACAAAGAUAAGAAAUGUGAUUAAGAAAGGAAGGAAGGAAAAAUCCAAAGUGUCUUCUAGGAGCAAAGGUGUCAUGACAUUAUUAUUAGUAUUUUUAUGGAACAAUAUUUAGGGUAGCAUGCCUCAUUCUAGUUAAGAAAAAAUUCAAGGUUCAAUAAAUGCUUGCAUAAAUUCUUACAUACUAUUCAUUAAUUAAAUAUAAGUUGUAUUCUUACUAAAUUGCUGACAUGACAUUAUUCUUUAACAAGCAUACAAAAGAUAUGACAUUAGAGAUAGUGACCCUUUAAGUAAAAAUAUGUACAUCCUCUAGUUAAUAUUAUAAACAAAAAUUAGCAUUUUAUAUUCAUUCAUUAAAUUAUAUAUGUGGUUAAUAAUAAAGACUAUAUACAUUAUUUAAUGAAUGAAUUUGUCAAUAUGCGUGGUCAGAUCAGAUGCAUAAAUGUGUAAGACGCUGGGUGAAUAAAAGAUCUGGAGUACAAAUCCGAACCACCAAAAAAAACUUACAUUGUGAAUUCAAUUUCCUAUAUUAAAACUUACGGUGUGAAUCUAAUUUCCUGUAUUAAAACUUAAGGUGUGAAUCUAAUUUUCUAUAUUAAACUAAAUAGCUGUUAGAUGAGGUCCAUUUCUUUUUAUUUGUUUCUUACCAAUCAAUUUCAGUAACCUUUAAACAAAUGUCAUAUUGUUGAAUCGUGAACUUUCUUCACACGUUCAAUGGCUGGUCCAAUUUAGAAAAUAUUAAUGAAUACAUGCUUUGAUAAAUUAUUUAUCAAAAACUGAUUUAUAUACUUUUUACACACAAGGAAUUGAGUUGGACAAACCCCUUCACUCCGACCUCAUCCCCCAAUCCCUCCCACCGCCAAUUUCAAGUGUGUUUAGCUGAGAAAAAGUUAUGUAAUGUUUUGAAAAAGUUAUAAAGUAUUAUGUUUAAGUUAAAUUGAGUGAAUUUUAAAUGAUAUUUAAGAUCUAAGAAUUUCAAAUUAUUUCCUAUUAGAUAUAUCUUUCAAAAUUUCCAAGUUGGUCCCCAUAUUUUUCAAAAAAAAUAAAUUAACCCUUAAAUAUUUAAAAUAAAUUGCAAAUUGAUCCUUACAAUUUCUUGAAAAUUAUAAACCGCUUUCAAUUUUUGAAUUCUACAAAUCAGCCCUCAAUUUUUCAAUUUUUCAAUUUGGCCCAAAAUUUUAUAAAAUAUAAAAGUAAGUAGCACAAAAAUAUAACUGAAGUAUUUUAUCACUGUAUCCAAACAAAAAUAUUAAAAAAUAAAGGGAUCUAGCGUCGAUCAUCUCACAAGGUGUUGGGAUGAUUUAUACCGCCGCUAUGAAAAUUAGAACUUUAAGUGCUUGUUUGGUGUAACACUCCUAUUUCUAUUAAAGCAAUUAAACAUGCAAAUAAUACAUUUAUUCAAGAAAUAGAGGCUACGCCACAUUCAAAAUUCAAAAACCAAUAAACAUGUAUAUAAACCUCAACAGUUGCAGCGGAAUAUAAAUCAGAGUAAUCCAAAUGUAUACAUGUCAUGAAUAAUAAAUUACAUCACAUAGAUGCAUCUCAAAAAUCCCAAACAAAACGGAUAAUCUCCAACAUAACAAAAUCCAAAAAUAACCUAAUCUAGACCGACACAACAAGCCUAGAUCAGAGCCAACUCAACACCGAUAUCGGAGAAAGCUCCCGAUAUCCCAAGCACAAACUCACCAAGCACUACUCCUGCACAACGUCUACCCAUCCAUACAGAUAGGUAGGCGGUUAAAACCACUAGGGUAAGUAUUACAUUAUCAUAAUCCAAAUAACAGAUAACAUGAGUAUUUCAAUAUAAACAUCAUGCAUUUGAUCAAUAGUAAUCACACAUUAAUACUUACAUCACAUCCCAAUAUCUCACAUCAAUAAUCAUCAAUCACAUAAACAGUUAACAAUUCACAAAUAUUCAUUCACAAUCUCCAAACACAAAUAUUCAUGAAUAGUCAUUAAUCACAUUUCACGAACAAUCACCAAUCACAUUUAUCAAACAAGACUCAUGUCAUGAUAUGCACUUAUUGACACAUAAAUGCAUGUGGUACCAAAUCUCCAAAAGGUCGUCACCUCCGAUGGAACAACUCAACAUCGUAUGUAAGGGUUCACACCCGCCUUACAUAAUCUCCGAAGUAAAAGAGCACAACCUUUUUACAACUACACGACUAUGAUGCAUGGACAUGUAAAAAAACUAGAUAAUGCGACAACAAUCACAAUUUUCUCCACAAUAUAUAGGAAAACACCCAAUUAUAUUGUUCAUCUCCACAUCAUUUGCAUUAUCAAGAAAACAUGCCCAUUCAUAAUUAAAUCAUAGUAUUCAUCAUUACACAUCAACGUGAUUAUCAAUAAUCAACGAUGUCAUUCAAUCAUCAACUAUCACAUAUAGUUUCACAAAUUCAAACAUUCCUUACAUCUUAAGUAAGAUAGCAUACACUUCUCAUGAUAAUUAUCAUAUCCAAAAUACAAUCAUUCAUUCAUACAACUUCACUUAGUCAUAUAAGAAUGAUCACAACAAUUCAUAAGACAAUACGACUUAAAGAUUCACUAGACCCCCUUUUCACAAGGUUAAUUCUUCCAUAAAAACACCCCUAGAUGAUUAGGAUAAAGUCCCUAUACAUAGAAAUAAGUUUGGAAACAAUUGGAUCAAAGAAAAUUGCAUUUUAAAAGUUUCUGGUCAGGCAAAAUCGUAGUCCGAAUUUUCCCCAUCGUAGUACGAUUUUUUUCGAGCUGAAACAACCCAAAAUCUGGUCAAAAUCGUAGCCCGAUGGAUAAAAUUGUAGUCCGAUUUCUGCCUGACAGACAACAUCAGAUUUUCCAAUUUUCACGUUUUCGCGCGUAAAAACCAAACCGUUAAUCCGUUUUCGGUGCCGUUUUCACCUACUUGUUCAUGACACUUAGCCCUAUCUUAAUGUACAGAAAAAUUCAAGUUUCAACAUUCCCAAAUUCAUUUUUCAAAGCCUUACACAACACUCAUUUUCCAAAACGGUUAACAAUUGAAUUUUCACCCGAAUCUCCCGUUUUCUCCCAAAACGACUCGACUAUCACAACUACAACCUAAAAACAGAAAUUCCAUCAAGUUUAACUCAUCCAACCACAUAGACAACUCAGUCAACAACUUUGUAUAUCAAAUUUCACUUUGGUCCUUCACAUGACCAUCUAGCACAACUUCACCAAUACAAACAACUUACUUCAUGAAAUGGAAUACCCAUGUUAUCAUUCAACAACAUCAACAUAUCUACUUUAACAACACCUCAUUUAGACAUGAAUUCAAUCAUAAUUCAAUUACACAAUAUCCCAAUCCAACAAUUGAGCAAAACACAUAAGUAUCCAUUUUCACCAAACCAACAACAACAACUUAUUUCACAACAACAAACUAUGAAUCAUGCAUACCCAAGCCAUGAAUUAGCAUCCAUAACAUCACUUAACAACAACAACAUCUAUUGAUCAUGAAACAUAUCACAAUUCAUCAACAACCAUCCAUAAUUCACCAUUUGAGCAUAAUUUACAAACUACCCAUUUUCAUACAUCAUGAACUUGCAAUUUCAUAAUCAACAAUUCAUUUAACAUCAAAUUAACACAUUCAAACAUAUCUCUACAACAUAAGCAAGAAUUUCAAAGAUUGGGUUCAUGAUAAUCACUUAUUCCCAUAAUCAAUUAUGCAUAGAACAAGAGAAAAAGAAUUAACUAAAUGAUUAUGAUAAAGACUAACCCCCUUACCUUAGAUGAAGAUUAACCCAAACUCUUGCUUCAAUUCAGCUCCUAAGCUUACCCAAAUUGAUUCCUCAAGCUAUUCUCUUCAAAACCCUUGUUCUUCUCUUCACCUCUUUCUCUCUCUACCUCUCUCUCUAGGAAAAUUUUAUGAAGUGAAUGAAAGAUAUUUUUUUUCUAUGACAACCCUAAUGUUAUCUCCCUUAAUGGGCUUAACUUAGUUUCUAGUGGGCUUAACCCAUUUCUAUUCAAACCACAAAUAUUUCUCUUUAACUAAUAACGGUAAAAUAUAACCAACGGUCACUAAACGGUAAAAACUAAUCACUACACUAGUAACUUAGUAAAAUAAGGGUUCUCACUAAAUAUUAAAGAUAAUUCUUACCAAAAUUUCCAUUUUACCCUUACCCGCCAAAUGACCAAAUACCCUUCUAAUACGGUAAUCUAUGUAAAUGCACCCAAUGACAAUUAAAUACACACAAGCACAAAUAAUCACAAACAAACACAUAAUAAAAGUAAUUAAAAUAAAUCUAGCUAAAAAUCGGGCUGUUACAUUUGGCACCACGUUUUUGGGCUCCAAACGUGGUUUAUUUUUGCCAAACGUGGUGUUGCACUUUUACAUGCUGUUUGGAUGACGAAAAAGCAAGUUUCUGAAAAGCGGUUUAUGUCUCCAAAACGCAAUUUUCUUGAAGCUGGAAUUCGGAGCUUCUACGGCAGAUAAAAACCACGUUUAAGCCUUUAAUUUCUCAAGUGGCAGGUACUUACCUAAUUACCCCUAAAUUCAAGCCUUCAAUUUCUCUUUCUCAUAGUUUUCUUCCUUUUCAUUACUUCACAUCACUUUCAAACUUAAAUUUUCUGCUAAUUGUGAAGAUUUUGCAUAUCCAAGAUUUCAAUUAUCUUCAGCUUUUCCCCAAUUUUUUCAGAUUUCAUGGUUAAUCUCAUUACUCAUGGUAGAUGUGUUGUUUGGGUGAAUUUAUUCCUUCAGCUUUUCCCCUAUAUAUGAUGCUUAUGAGCUACUUGUGAGAACCAUUCCAUUGCUCUGCCAAGGCCUGAAGGUAAAUACAUAUUCAUAUUUUUUUUGCUUUGAUUACUUGCUUCAAUAUUGUUAAUUUCUAUUUCUCUUUGCUCUAUUUGUUACAAGUUUUACAUUAAUUUUUCCAUCCUACAUCAAUGCAUUGUAUGUGUUUGAUAAAUAGUCUCAAAGAAAAAAAAAAUUCUUAUAUUGAUAUGUUUAUGUUGAUGAAUUUUCUUGACCUGUAGAAGUGAUUGUUUUGUUAUUAUUGAUGUUUAUCUUUAUUUUUAUUUUUUUUUAUUUUUUUGUGUUUUUAGCAAGGAGUCUAUUGUUUUUGUUUAAGGUACUUGGUGUGUUCAAAGUAAUUGAAUGAACUAACGUAAGAAAAGAAACUUAUAGCUUCAAGCCAUUGUUGUAAUUCUAAUUUUUGUGCCUUUACAAAAAAUUCCAAAGUAACAGAAUUUCUUCUAACACAAAGUAACAGAACUCACUCUUAGCACAAAGUAACAGAACUUCUUCUUGUAUUGUUUUUGUUUUCUGUUAUCAUUUUCAUUUGCACAAAACAAGGAUAUUGGUGUUAGUUUGAUCAAGUUGCUUAUGUAUAGUUUGUUUCAUUUUUUUUUUUGGGUUAAUAUGUCUUUACCCCCUGUAAUUUGGGCGAGUUUCGGUUUACCUCCUGUAAAAAUAAAAGUUUAGAUUCCAACCCUUUAAUAUGAAGAUUCUUCAAAAAACACCCCUAUAAUAUUAAGAUUCUCCACAAAACACCCCUGACCCCAUCCAGACGCUGAUGUGGCACGCCAUUGUGUAAUUAUUUUAAUUUUUUUUAAAACCUGACACAUGUGUAAUGGACGCUGACUGUAUAAUUUUUUUUAUUUUUUUUUAUUUUUUUAAAGGGUACACGUGGCAUUUGUGAUUUUAAAAAAAAAUAAAAAACGAAAACAAUUAUGGAAAAAUUAAUAAAAAUAAAAAAUAUUCUGAAAAAUAAAAAAAAAUAGCGAAAAAAUUAAUUAAAAUAAAAAAUAUGAUUAAACAAAUUCCGGAAAAUUUAAUAAAAUAAAAAAUAAUCUGAAAAUUUUAAUAAAAAUGAAAAAGAAUCUGGUAAAAUGAAAAAUAAUGAAAAAAAUUUGGAAAAAUUUUAAAAAGUUCUAGAAAAUUUUAAAAAAUAAUAAAAAAAUCUGGAAAAAGUUAAAAAUAUGAGAAAAAAAAUUUAUAUUUCUGGAAAAUUCAGGACCUUAAAAUAUUUCAAAAUUCUUGAAUAUAAUAAGAAAAUAUAUUUUAUUUUUAAAAAAAAAAGGUUCAGAUUUUUCUUUCGAAAUUAAUUUUUUUUUUAUUUUUUUAUACAAAAAAUAAAAAUAUUGGAAAAUAUUUCAAUAAUUAGAAAAACAUAACAUUAGAACAUGAAGAAUAGAAUUAAGGGCUUGUUUUUCAAUAGUAUAACAUGACUUAUAUACCGGUGUCAAUCAAAAUUCAUUGUAUCUUGUUAUUCAUCUAGAUUAUAUUUUCGAAUAAAAUAAAAUUCUAGAAAUAAAUUUUCAUAAUCAAAAUAACUAUAUAAUAUUAUAUUUUUCGAUUUUUUUAUAAUUUAAAUUUAAUUCAGAUUUUUUUUUAUAUUUUUUGAAAAUUUUGAUAUAUAUAAAUUUUUUCCAGAAUUUUUUAUUUUUUUUGAACUUUUUCCAGAUUGUUUUGUUUAUUGUCGUGAUUUUUUUCUUAAAUUUUCUAGAUUUUUUAAUUUUUUCAGAUUUUUUUUAUUAAAUUUUCUAUAUUUUUUCAUAAUUGUUUUUUCAUUUUAAUAAUGUUUCUAGAAUUUAUUAUUUUAUUUUUAUUUUAAAAAAAUAUAUACAAAUGCCACGUGUACCCUUUAAAAAUAAUAAUAAUACAGUCGUCACGCUACAUAAUCAGAUAUGCACAGUCAGCAUGCCAUUUCAGCUCGCCACGUCAGCAAUUCUGUACAGUCACAUAGGUCAGGGGCUAAAGUCAAAUAAUCUUAUUUUACAGGGUUGGAAUCUAAUCUUUUUUUUUACAGGGGGUAAACCGAAACUCGCCUAAAUUACAGGGGGUAAAUACAUAUUAACCUUUUUUUUUUUUUUUAUCAUACUUUUGUGUAUAUAGUAAUAUGGACUCACUUAAGAGAAAAGUUUCUGCUAACCCCCCUUCAACUAACAAUGAGGGUCAAAGUUUCAAAGCUAGUUUAAAUAUUAGUUUGCAAUAAUUUUCAAUAUUAUAUUGCACUUGAACUUAUAUUAUCUAUUAUCUAUAUGUAAUAUACUUUAGAGCCUUGCCAUUUUUUAUACAUAUUUAGAAAUCUAUGAUUAUGUAUUAAUAAUUUACGUAUAUUUUAGUUUACAAUUGUGUAAUUUCUCAUUUGUUUUACAUCUUUUUAUGCUUAUAUUAUUUUAUUAAAAAUCACCCAAUUGAUAAAAAAAAAUAAUAUUAAAAAUAACAUAAAUUUAUAUUAUUUUAAAAUUAAUUUUAGAACCAAUAGAAUUCAUGUAUGAUAAGUUGAAAUAAUUUUUUUUUAUGAGAAUGAGUUUUAAAUACAAUUAAAAUGAUAGUUUAGUCAUUAUACAUUCAAAAUCAAUUUUGAUUCAAACUAUCCAAACAACAUCAACCCGCAAGAAUCACUUUUAGUAUCCAAACAUAAAUCAAUUCACAUUCAACUCACUUUUAACCAAAAUCAAUUCUCUCAAACUCAAUUCUAUCAAAAUCAAUUCUCCUCGCCGCCAUACCAAACACACACUAAGAUUAAGAAGGAAAAGAUGAAGGGAACUGGCUACAAAUGGUAUUAUUAAUGUGGCUUGGUGGAACUCUUUACCCUUCUUUACUAGGGAUGACUUUUAUAAAGACCACUAUGGAUUUUUAAAUUAUCGUUCUCCAUAUCUCUUUGUAUUUUAAUUUUGUUUUUUGUUUUGGUUUGGUCCUCCUCUAGUACGGUUUUUCAUUUUUUUAAUAAUUUUUUUUUAGAUCAAGCUGGCAUAGGAUGGGGUGGUUUUGGAGUGUGAACAUAGUUGGAAUGUCAAACCUUCUUUUGAUGUCUUCUUUUGCUCAUGAUUUAGAAGGAAAAAAAAAAUUUAAUUACAAUAUAUUUCUCUAAAUUGAUUGAUUUCUUUCCUAAAGACACAACAGAAUUAAUCAACUAUAAUUGAUUUAUUUUUUUUACUUGGAUGAAAGUGAUUCAUAUGCCAAACAGAGCCUAAGUAAUUAAAAUAACAAAUUAGUUUAAAAAGGUAACUACCUGGAAUACGCAUUAGAAUGAAUCAGUAUUAGAGAGAUUAGAAACACCAGUAUUGAUUUGUGAGAAAACCAAGAUCUUUGAUCUGUAUCAUUUAAAAAGGAAAGACCAUCAACAGAACCAUUAUCAUUCUUCUUGUCUUUCUUCUUUUUUGACACAAAAUCAUGAAACUUGAGUAGCUAUACUGCAAUAGGGAGAAAAAGGAAGAAGAAAGACGAUUCAUUUAGUGAUGAAGCAGAAGAAGUUUGAAGAAAGUGGUAUUGCUAGCUUCAAUGACAUUGCUGAGGAAAAUAAAUAGAGAUCUAUACACAAAAUUAUGAAAGACAAGAAGAUUCAUACCAAUUGAACAGCAAGGAUGUUUCUGGUCAUCUUCAUUUUCAAUGUUGGAGCUUAUGACUUCACCUCCAAUUGAUGUAGGUUGUAACUCAUCAUUAUAAUUUCCCUGGCCAUCUUCACUUUCAUUGUUAGACCAAUCAGACCCCACACCAAUUUCCCAACCAUCCAGAUUCGACUUAUGUUCUAAGUUAUAUACAGGUAAGACCCCACACCCCUUUAUCCCCUCUGUUGACCACCACAAUUCUUCAUUGAAAUCUUGAUGCAUGAAUUGAAAUGAUAGGUUGCAAUCAUUACUUCCAUGUUUCCGUCUGUUGUAAGGAUGCCAACAUAUCAAUACGUGAUCUGAAAUUAAUGUCCCAUUAUAUUCGUAAACAACAAGAAUACACUUGUCGACUUCUUUGCCGUGUUCAAAGAUGACACAAUGCAGGGGGUGAUUGAGAUCAUGGAAGCCCUUAGAAAGAAUGGUGCAGAAUACGAAACCAGACAGGUUAUAUUUUGGAAUCGGAGGAAUGGUUAUUGAAGCCUUCAUUGUUUGAAAAUCAAACUUGCGAGGAACUUGUGCUCCUGGCAAGAAAUAGACAUCAUAAUAGGAACGGUUAUUGACAUCUUUAUUUGCAUGAAAAGGGUCUUUAGAGAAGAUUUGUACUAUGUUCUCAAGAAAUGACCGUUGAGUGGAGUCUGUGUCCAGAUAAGUGCAAUUAAUGGCACUCAAACAUAAUAGGGAUGGCGGAAGCUCUGUUAGAGACACAAGUUUCCUGCAAUCAUCUAAAACUAGCCAUUUUAGCAUUGAAUGGUUUCGUAUGUUCUCAGGGACACAUUCCAAGUUGCAACAAUCUUGCAAUGAGAGCCGUUUCAAAGAUUGUAUGCCAUCAAGGAUGGACCACAGACUUAAUGCAUUGAUUUCUGUGCACCGUGAAAGGUUUAGUUCUAUAACAGACCCAAGUCCAUGAUCAUCUGAUAACUUAUUCCCAACAAUGUUAAGCUUGUUACACUCGGUUAGGGAAAGAGAAGUAAGUUUUCUGUUACGCCAAAUCGAUGAAGACAAUUCACGUAUAGCAGUGCCAUCUAAGGUCAACUCUGUCAUUUCAUCCGAUGUCACUGAGAAUUCUGUGAGAGAAGAACAACCAUCGAGUAAGAGUUCACAAAGAGAUUUUGAAUGAAUGUUGGUUUUAAGGCUUUCAAUCUUUUUGCAACCUCGUAAAUCUAGAUAUCUA